ACAUCACAGGUGAUGCUGAUGAUAUCAACUCUUGGGUGUUGGACUGGAUGACCAAAAACACUCAUUAUAAGGCACCGGCCUCUGAAUUGCUUCAUGCCCUACCAAUCAGUCCUCCACCUGAAGGUGCUCGUUGCCUGUACCAAGAGCCUGAACUCACUGCUCAUUACAUGCAAGUGCUCAUGAAGCCUCUAAAGCCUGGUCAAGCCCCAAGGACCAAAUUCCUCGUGAAGGAAUUGUUGUAUGUGCCAAGAACCAUCUAUCACAUUCUGACGAAGACUAUGAGUCCUAUCAAAGGCCACGACUCAUCUGAUGAGGAAAUUGUUGGCAUCAUGAAGAAUAUGCUAUUCAACAUCAUGCAUGGCAUCCCUGUCAAUUAUCAUGAUUUCUUCAUGAGGACUCUAGCAAAUGUUGCACUUUCUCCGUUUGAGCUGAAGCCUUAUGCCCCUUAGAUUCCUCAGAACAAGGUCCUCACUCAACUACAAAGCUGACUAUCAGAAUCACCUCAGCUACUUGCCACCGAUUGAAGUCCUCAAGCGGACAUAUUCCUCAGCUGAUGAGAAGGGCAAGGCACCAGCUGUUAUCGAUGAAGGUAUUCGUCCAUUGGAUGGUCAGUUCCGCAAAGCUGCAUCUUAUCCCACCAAUGAUGACUCUGCCACUCAUGAUUCUGCUGCCAAUGCAUCCAAGCCAAAUCCUCAAGCCACUGCUCCUCAUGGGAUGACUGCCGUGAGCUGCUUCUUAGUCUUCACCAGAAGGUGGAUCGAAACCACAAAUGGGUUAAGCGUCAGUUUGGCUCUAUUCUUCACAACAUGACCUCUACACAUAAUGCAGUGAAGAAAAACCAUUACUACCUCCAUGAAGUCUUCGAUCGCACCUGGGCUAUUCUGUCACAUCUCUACAGUGAAGAAGAUCUAAAGCAAAUGGGUUUCACAGAAGAUUUGGACUGGUCUACUCCUCCACUGAAGAAAUACAAGAAGGUCAAGGUUCCUUCCUUGGUAGCCAGUUCAUAUUCUUCAUCACGCGACACGGACGAGUAUGAAGACUUGGACGACACUGCGGCAGGCUCUACAAUGACACAAGACCCCAACAAUGUUGGCGCUCCUCCAUCAUCAUGAUAUUCUUCAGGGGCGUUAGUCCUCAUUUUUCAACCCUUUUGGUCAUUCGAUGACAAAGGGGGAGAAAUUUGAGUUAGUCUUCAAGGGGGUCUAUCUUAUAUGGGCGUUUUUUUUUGCUAAGUUACAACUCUCGUUCUUUUGGUGACUUUGCUGGAUCGAGUUGUAAUCUUAAACUCUAUGUGGCAUGAUACUUUUGAUGAGUUCUUCUGCAUGCUUAUUCCUCAUUAAUGGCAAUGCACGCAUGCUGAAUUACAUCAGUCACCAUAUUUCAUCAUGCAUUUCAAAUUCUUCAUAUUAUAUGUCAAAUGCGCGUAUGAAUUACAAGAUAUAGGGGGAGAUCUCCAUGAUUAUACUCUUCAAGUGUGCAUUGCUUCAAAAGAAAUAUUCGUCACUAUGCACAUCUUCAGGGGGAGUUCUUCUAUAUCUUGCAAUCAAAUUCCUCAAUAUCAGUAUUUACACUUCAUAUGUUUAUCCCCGUUGAAAACUUAACCUAUAUUGUCAUCAAUCACCAAAAAGGGGGAGAUUGUAAGUGCAUCUAGUGCCCCUUAGUGAUUUUGGUGUAUUGAAGACUUAUAGGUUAAGGGACUGAUGCGUUUGUGAGUGUACACAGGUCUAUAAGUCUAUGAGGAGUUUGAUAUUUACAGAGAAAGUCGACCCCUAAAAAUGAAGUUCUUCAACUGAAGACUUUGGAUUUCUAAAGACUUUCUGAAGACUUUGAAAGUGAAGAAAUUAGUGUGACCUUGAAGACUUUGCAAUCAUUCGAGGAACAUGAAGCGUAAGACUUUUGUUUUCGUAGUUUCAUUUUCUCUUUCUUGAGUCAUAGGAAACACCGUACUGUUAAAGGGGGUCGAGGAAAUACUAAGGAAAAAUUUCCAUGUGAUGCUCAACUCAAAAUCCUACACCUACCAAUCCCUUCGAGUGAAGCCAUUGGAAAUCUCAUACAGUUCAGUCAUAUUCUUCAGUGACAGAGACGAAGUUCUUCUGGUCUCUGAGGAAUUUGUUCUGACUGAGGAGUUAGGAAUUCGCCAGUUUGGAUUGCCUACACAGUGAGGAACAUGAUAGCCCUGAGGAAUUUGAGAGUCAAAAUUCCGACCGUUGUUGUGCUAUGCGCCAGCUGUCCCAAAAUAUCUACCCACCUAAUGGUCCUAUCAUUGAAGGGCAUUUAUGUCUUAUCAUGUCGGGCUGCUCCCUAGGCUAUAAAUAGCCGCCCCCUACAACCACUAGCUGGUUGGCUGCUCUGAGAGAAACUGACACUUGUCAUUUGAGAGCAUCCCAUCCUCCGAGGACUUUGAGCGAAAAUCAUCAAGUGAGGAAAACCCAAACCCAACACACCUACAACCCAAAGUGAUUGAGCAUCAUUGAAGAGAUUGAUCAUGCGUGGAUCCGACGCUUGUUACCUUUGAAGAUUGUGCUUCUUCCAGACGGUUAGGUGUCAUGGUCUAGAGCAUCCAAGAGGAAUUGUGGAUCGCCAGGUGACUGAGUUUGUGAAGGUUUGGAAGUCACCUGAAGACUAACACGAGUGAUUGGGCGAGGUCUGUGUGACCUUAGCUCAAGGAGAAUACGAUGAGGACUGUGUGUCUGGGCUGUGUGUCCUCAGGUUUAAAUACCUAGCCGCUCCAACCAGACAUACAACUGAGAUAGCAGUUGGAACUGAUCUACCAAAGCAUUGUCUUCACCAAGCUUACUGGUUCUAUUUCCUCAACUCUUUCAUUUCCUCAUUCAGUUGUUGUGUGCUUGUUCAUAUCUAUUUGAAGACUUUGACUGAAGAGUUUCUCAAUUUCCUCAAUUCAAUUUCUUUAGUCUGUCCAUCUUCAUCCUGUGCUAUCCUGUGUUUACACUUUAUGUACUCUGUGCUUGUCUUCAUUUCAUCAUGAUGACUAUGCUAGUGUUCUGUUAUGUUUACUUCUAAGUACUUAUUCCGCUGCAAGUAGUUCUUCACUAAGGAAUUUCCUCACCAGCAAAUUCCUCAGUGAAGAAUUCAUAAAAAUCGCCUAUUCACCCCCCCCCCUCUAGUCGAUAUAACGCACUUUCACGGUAAGAAUUCAUUAUAUAAUCUCCCGAAGGUUUUGACCACCAUAUCACACAAAUAUCCUCUGUUUUUGCUUCGAGCUGUUUCUGCCGCAGAUUAGAGCAACAUGUCGUCCCAGGAUUCGGAGGGAGAAAGCUAUGUGGUUGAUUACCUUGCAGACCCUAAGGUCUAUGGGGACUUGGAGCACUAUGGUUGGACCACUGACGAAGAAGAAGACUACGAGCCUAAGGGAAAGGAGGAGACGAUCUCAGAUGAAGAUGAAGUCCCAUUACCUCAACCUGGGGAUAUGCAUGUGGAGUUUAAAAAGUCAAGCCUCCUUGAUAGGGCAAAGAAACCAAAGAUCGAGUUUAUCCCUUUUCGUCUCUUGCAGGAGAACAAACAGGAACUAUGCACAAGGAUAUUAAGCCUUGAGCAGCAGAUCGAUGAUCUAAGGGAGCAAAAUUCCAUCCUCAAGCGCAAAUUAAGGAAGAAGCUUACAUCAUCAACAACUCCAUCAUCACCACCUCCGAAGAAGGAGACAUAAACACAUAGGUAUGGGCACUCCCCUUGGCAACUGCCAAGCUUGGGGGAGGUGCCCCGGUAUCGUAUCACCAUCACACUCCUAUCUUUACCGUUUUUCUUAGUUCGUUCCUUUUAGUAAUAUCUUGAUCUAGUAGAAUAAAGUUUUAGUAUGAUUUAGUUUUGAGUUUUGCUUUAUGAUCUUGCUAUGUAAUCGAGUAUGUGAGCUAUAUAUAAUAAAGAUUAGUGUUGAGUCUGAUAGGAAUAUGCAACUUGUAUUCCCAGGUGGCCAUAGGCCAGUAUAUAUACAUGUACAGGUGUAGAAUAUAUGCAGGAAACCGCUUAUACAAUAGGGUAAAUACGAAAGGUUACAUGGCUAUAUAUAUAACUCUAACACCCACCCCCCCCCCUCAAACUCAUAGUGGAUUAACAACACUGAGUUUGGAGAGAUGGAAGCCAUGCUGCGUGUUGGGGAAUGUAGCAAUUUCAAAAAGAUUCCUACGCACACGCAAGAUCAUGGUGAUGCAUAGCAACGAGAGGGGAGAGUGUUGUCCACAUACCCUCGUACACCGAAAGAGGAAGCGUUAGAACAAUGCGGUUGAUGUAGUCAUACGUCUUCAUGGCCCGACCGAUCAAGCACCGAAACUACGGCACCUCCGAGUUUUAGCACAUGUUCAGCUCGAUGACGAUCCUCGUACUCCGAUCCAGCAGAAUGUUGGGGAAGAGUUCCGUCAGCACGACGGUGUGGUGACGACCUUGAUGUUCUACCGUCGCAGGGCUUCACCUAAGCACCGCUACAAUAUUAUCGAGGAGGACUAUGGUGGAGGGGGGCACCGCACACGGUUAAGAGAUCAAGAGAUCAAUUGUUGUGUCUAGAGGUGCCCCCCUGCCCCCAUAUAUAAAGGAGCAAGGGGGAGGGGGUCGGCUGGCCAGGAGGGGGGCGCCAGGAGGAGUCCUACUCCCACUGGGAGUAGGACUCCNNNNNNNNNNNNNNNNNNNNNNNNNNNNNNNNNNNNNNNNNNNNNNNNNNNNNNNNNNNNNNNNNNNNNNNNNNNNNNNNNNNNNNNNNNNNNNNNNNNNNNNNNNNNNNNNNNNNNNNNNNNNNNNNNNNNNNNNNNNNNNNNNNNNNNNNNNNNNNNNNNNNNNNNNNNNNNNNNNNNNNNNNNNNNNNNNNNNNNNNNNNNNNNNNNNNNNNNNNNNNNNNNNNNNNNNNNNNNNNNNNNNNNNNNNNNNNNNNNNNNNNNNNNNNNNNNNNNNNNNNNNNNNNNNNNNNNNNNNNNNNNNNNNNNNNNNNNNNNNNNNNNNNNNNNNNNNNNNNNNNNNNNNNNNNNNNNNNNNNNNNNNNNNNNNNNNNNNCUUAUUCCGGUGUCCGAAUAUAGUCGUCCAAUAUACCAAUCUUCAUGUCUCGACCAUUUCGAGACUCCUCGUCAUGUCCGUAAUCACAUUUGGGACUCCGAACAAACUUCGGUACAUCAAAAUUCAUAAACUCAUAAUAUAACUAUCAUCGAAACCUUAAGCGUGCAGACCCUACGGGUUCGAGAACUAUGUAGACAUGACCAAGAACCGUUUCCGAUCAAUAACCAAUAGCGGAACCUGGAUGCUCAUAUUGGCUCCUACAUAUUCUACGAAGAUCUUUAUCAGUCAAACCGCAUAACAACAUACGUUGUUCCCUUUGUCAUCGGUAUGUUACUUGCCUGAGAUUUGAUCGUCGGUAUCUCAAUACCUAGUUCAAUCUCGUUACUGGCAAGUCUCUUUACUCAUUACGUAAUGCAUCAUUCCGUAACUAACUCAUUAGCUACAUUGCUUGCAAGGCUUAUAGUGAUGUGCAUUACCGAGAGGGCCCAAAGAUACCUCUCCGACAAUCGGAGUGACAAAACCAAAUCUCGAAAUACGCCAACCCAACAUGUACCUUUGGAGACACCUGUAGAGCUCCUUUAUAAUCACCCAGUUACGUUGUGACGUUUGGUAGCACACAAAGUGUUCCUUCGGUAAACGGGAGUUGCAUAAUCUCAUAGUCACAGGAACAUGUAUAAGUCAUGAAGAAAGCAGUAGCAACAUACUAAACGAUCAAGUGCUAAGCUAAUGGAAUGGGUCAAGUCAAUCACAUCAUUCUCCUAAUGAUGUGAUCUUGUUCAAACAGAUGACAACUCAUGUCUAUGGCUAGGAAACUUAACCAUCUUCGAUUCACGAGCUUGUCAAGUAGAGGCAUACUAGUGACACUAAGUUUGUCUAUGUAUUCACACAUGUAUUAUGUUUCCGGUUAAUACAAUUCUAGCAUGAAUAAUAAAAAUUUAUCAUGAAAUGAGGAAAUAAAUAAUAACUUUAUUAUUGCCUCUAGGGCAUAUUUCCUUCAGUCUCCCACUUGCACUAGAGUCAAUAAUCUAGUUCACAUCACCAUGUGAUUUAACACUAAUAUUCACAUCUGCAUGUGAUUAACACACAUAGUUCACAUCGUCAUGUGACCAGCGCCCAAAAGGGUUUACUAGAGUCAAUAAUCUAGUUCACAUCGAUAUGUGAUUAACACCCAAAGAGUACUAAGGUGUGAUCAUGUUUUGCUCAUGAGAGAAGUUUAGUCAAUGGGUCUGUCACAUUCAGAGCCGUAUGUAUUUUGCAAAUAUUUUAUGUCUACAAUGCUCUGCACGGAGCUACUCUAGCUAAUUGCUCCCACUUUCAAUAUGUAUCCAGAUUGAGAUUUAGAGUCAUCUGGAUUAGUGUAAAAGCUUGUAUCGAUGUAACUCUUUACGACGAACUCUUUUAUCACCUCCAUAAUCGAGAAACAUCUCCUUAGUCCUCACUAAGGAUAUUCUUGACCGUUGUCCAGUGAUCUACUAUUAGAUCAAAAUUGUAUUCCUUUGCCAAACUCAGAGCAAGGUAUACAAUAUGUCUGGUACACAUCAUAGCAUACUUUAUAGAACCUAUGACUGAGGCAUAGGGAAUGACUUUUCAUUCUUUUUCUAUUUUCUGCCAUGGUUGGGUUUUGAGUCUUACUCAAUUUCAUACCUUUGCAACACAGGCAAGAACUCUUUCUUCGACUGUUCCAUUUUGAACUACUUCAAAAUCUUGUCAACGUAUGUACUCAUUGAAAAUCUUAUCAAGCGUCUUGAUCUAUCUCAAUAGAUCUUGAUGCUCAAUAUGUAAGUAGCUUUACUAAGGUCUUUCUUUGAAAAACUCCUUUCAAACACUCCUUUAUGCUUUCCAGAAAGUUCUACAUUAUUUUUGAUCAAAAAUAUGUCAUUCACAUAUACUUAUCAGAAAGGCUGUAGUGCUCCUACUCACUUUCUUGUAAAUACAGGCCUUUCCAAAAGUCUGCAUAAAACCAUAUGCUUUGAUCAACUCAUCAAAGCGUAUAUUCCAACUCCGAGAUGCUUGCACCAGUCCAUUGAUGGAUUGCUGGAGCUUGCACACUUUGUUGGCACCUUUAGGAUUGACAAAACCUUCUCGUUGUAUCAUAUACAGCUCUUCUUUAAUAAAUCCAUUAAGGAAUUCAGUUUUGAUAUCCAUUUGCCAGAUUUCAUAAAAUGUGGCAAUUGCUAACAUGAUUCAGACAGACUUAAGCAUCGAUAUGAGUGAUAAAAUCUCAUCGUAUUCAACACCUUGAACUUGUCGAAAAAACUUUUUACGACAAGUCGAGCUUUGUAGAUAGUAACACUACUAUCAGCGUCUGUCUUCCUCUUGAAGAUCUAUUUAUUUUCUAUGGCUUGCCGAUCAUCGGGCAAGACAACCAAAGUCCACACUUUGUUCUCAUACAUGGAUUCCAUCUCAGAUUUCAUGGCCUCAAGCCAUUUCGCGGAAUCUGGGCUCAUCAUCGCUUCCUCAUAGUUCGUAGGUUCAUCAUGGUCUAGUUACACGACUUCCAGAAUAGGAUUACCGUACCACUCUGGUGCGGAUCUUAUUCUGGUUGACCUACGCGGUUCGGUAGUAACUUGAUCUGAAGUUUCAUGAUCAAUAUCAUUAGCUUCCUCACUAAUUGGUGUAGUGGUCACUGGAACUGAUUUUUGUGAUGAACUACUUUCCAAUUCGGGAGAAGGUACAAUUACCUUAUCAAGCUCUACUUUCCUCCCACUCACUUCUUUCGAGAGAAACUCCUUCUCUAGAAAGGAUCCAUCUUAGCAACGAAUAUUUUGCUUUUGGAUCUGUGAUAGAAGGUGUACCCAACAAUUUCCUUUGGGUAUUCUAUGAAGACGCAUGCCAAACCACAGUUCAUAAGCCGUCGUCUCAAUGGAUUUUGAUGGUGCCCUAUUUAAAGUGAAUGCAACUGUCUCUAAUGCAUAAACCCAAAACGCUAGUGGUAAACCGAUAAGAGACAUCAUAGGUCGCACAAUAUCCAAUAAAGUGCGGUUAUGAUGUUCGGACACACCAUAACGUUGUGGUGUUCCGGGUGGUGUGAACUGUGAAACUAUUCCAUAUUGUUUUAUAUGAAGGCCAAACUCGUAACUCAAAUAUUCUCCUCCACGAUCAGAUCGUAGAAACUUUAUUUUCUUGUUACGAUGAUUCUCCACUUCACUCUGAAAUUCUUUGAACUUUUCAAAUGUUUUAGACUUGUGUUUUAUUAAGUAGAUAUACACAUAUCUGCUCAAAUCAUCUUGUGAAGGUCUGAAAAUAACAAUACCCGCCACGAGCAUCAAUACUCAUUGGACCGCAUACAUCAGUAUGUACUAUUUCCAAUAAGUCACUAGCUCGUUCCAUUGUUCCGGAGAACGGAGUUUUAGUCAUCUUGCCCAAAAGGCACGGUUCGCAAGCAUCAAAUGAUUCAUAACCAAGUGAUUCCAAAAAUCCAUCUUUAUGGAGUUUCUUCAUGCGCUUUACACCGAUAUGACCCAAACGGCAGUGCCACAAAUAAGUUGCACUAUCAUUAUAAACUUUGCAUCUUUUUGGCAUCAAUAUUAUGAAUAUGUGUAUCACUACGAUUGAGAUACAAUAAACUAUUUUCAUUGGGUGUAUGACCAUCGAAGGUUUUAUUCAUGUAAACAGAACAACAAUUAUUCUCUGACUUUAAAUGAAUAACCGUAUUGCAACAAACAUGAUCAAACGCCAAAUAACAUUUAUUUAGGUUUAACACUAAUCCCGAAAGUAUAGGGAGUGUGUGAUGAUGAUCAUAUCAAUCUUGGAACUACUUCCAGCACUCAUCAUCACUUCACCCUCAACUAGUCUUUGUUUACUCUGUAGCUCAUGUUUCGAGUUACUAGUUUUUAGCAACUGAACAAGUAUCAAAUACUCAGGGGCUACUAUAAACACUAGUAAGGUACACAUCAAUAACCUGUAUAUCAAAUAUACCCUUGCUCACUUUGCCAUCCUUCUUAUCCACCAAAUAUUCAGGGCAUUUCUGCUUCCAGUGACCAUUUCCUUUGUAGUGUAAGCACUCAGUUUCAGGCUUUGGUCCAGCUUUGGGCUUCUUCGCGGGAGUGACAACUUGCUUGUCAUUAUACUUGAAGUUUCCUUUCUUUCCCUUUGCCCUUUUCUUGAAACUAGUGAUCUUGUCAAUCAUCAACACUUGAUGCUCUUUCUUGAUUUCUACCUUCGUUGAUUUCAACAUCACAAAGAGCUCGGGAAUCGUUUUCUUCAUCCCUUGCAUACUAUAGUUCAUCAUGAAGUUCUCGCAACUUGGUGAUGGUGACUAGAGAACUCUGUCAAUCACUAUCUUAUCUGGAAGAUUAACUCCCACUUGAUUCAAGCGAUUGUAGUACCCAGACAAUCUGAGCACAUGCUCACUGCUUGAGCUAUUCUCCUCCAUCUUUUAGCUAUAGAACUUGUUGGAGACUUCAUAUCUCUCAACUCGGGUAUUUGCUUGAAAUAUUAACUUCAACUCUUGGAACAUCUCAUAUGUUCCAUGACGUUCAAAAUGUCUUUGAAGUCUCGAUUCUAAGCCGUUAAGCAUAGUGCACUAAACUAUUAAGUAGUCAUCAUAUUGAACUAGCCAAACAUUCAUAACGUCUGCAUCUGCUCCUGCAAUAGGUCUAUCACCUAGCGGUGCAUUAAGGACAUAAUUCUUCUGUGCAGCAAUGAGGAUAAACCUUAGAUCACGGAUCCAAUCCGCAUCAUUGCUACUAACAUCUUUCAACACAAUUUUCUCUAGGAACAUAUCAAAAUAAACAUAUGAAAGCAACAAUGCAAGCUAUUGAUCUACAACAUAAUUUGCAAAAUACUACCAGGACUAAGUUCAUGAUAAAUUUAAGUUCAAUUAAUCAUAUUACUUAAGAACUCCCACUUAGACAAACAUAUCUCUAGUCAUCUAAGUGAUCACGUGAUCCAAAUCAACUAAACCAUGUCCGAUCAUCACGUGAGAUGGAGUAGUUUUCAAUGGUGAACAUCACUAUGUUGAUCAUAUCUACUAUAUGAUUCACGCUCGACCUUUCGGUCUCCGUGUUCCGAGGCCAUAUCUGUAUAUGCUAGGCUCGUCAAGUUUAACCUGAGUAUUCCGCGUGUGCAACUGUUUUGCACCCGUUGUAUUUGAACGUAGAGCCUAUCACACCCGAUCAUCACGUGGUUUCUCGGCAUGAAGAACUUUAGCAACGGUGCAUAUUCAGGGAGAACACUUCUUGAUAAUUAGUGAGAGAUCAUCUUAAAAUGCUACUGUCAAUCAAAGCAAGAUAAGAUGCAUAAAGGAUAAACAUCACAUGCAAUCAAUAUAAGUGAUAUGAUAUGGCCAUCAUCAUAUUGUGCUUGUGAUCUCCAUCUCUGAAGCAUCGUUGUGAUCACCAUCGUCACCGGUGCGACACCUUAAUCUCCAUCGUACCAUCAUUGUCAUUACGCCAUCUAUUGCUUCUACGACUAUCGCUACCGCUUAGUGAUAAAGUAAAGCAAUUAUAGGGCGUUUGCAUUUCAUACAAUAAAGCGACAACCAUAUGGCUCCUGCCAGUUGCCGAUAAAUCGGUUACAAAACAUGAUCAUCUCAUACAAUAAAAUAUAGCAUCACGUCUUGACCAUAUCACAUCACAACAUGCCAUGCAAAAACAAGUUAGACGUCCUCUACUUUGUUGUUGCAAAUUUUACGUGGCUGCUAUGGGCUGAGCAAGAGCCGUUCUUACCUACACAUCAAAACCACAACGAUAGUUCGUCAAGUUAGUGUUGUUUUAACCUUCGCAAGGACCGGGCGUAGCCACACUCGGUUCGACUAAAGUUGGAGAAACAGACACCCGCCAGCCACCUAUGUGCAAAGCACAUCGGUAGAACCAGUCUUGCGUAAGCGUACGCGUAAUGUCGGUCCGGGCCGCUUCAUCCAACAAUACCGCCAAACCAAAGUAUGACAUGCUGGUAAGCAGUAUGACUUGUAUCGCCCACAACUCACUUGUGUUCUACUUGUGAAUAUAACAUCUACGCAUAAAACCUGGCUCGGAUGCCACUGUUGGGGAACAUAGUAAUUUCAAAAAAAAUCGUACGCACACGCAAGAUCAUGGUGAUGCAUAGCAAUGAGAGGGGAGAGUGUUGUCCAUGUACCCUCAUAGACUGAAAGCGGAAGCGUUAGAACAACGCGGUUGAUGUAGUCGUACGUCUUCACGGCCCGACCGAUCAAGCACCGAAACUACGACACCUCCAAGUUUUAGCACACGUUCAGCUCGAUGACGAUCCCCGUACUCCGAUCCAGCAGAAUGUCAGGGAAGAGUUCCGUCAGCACGACAGCAUGGUGACGACCUUGAUGUUCUACCGUCGCAGGGCUUCGCCUAAGCACCGCUACAAUAUUAUCGAGGAGGACUAUGGUGGAGGGGGGCACUGCACACGGUUAAGAGAUCAAGAGAUCAAUUGUUGUGUCUAGAGGUGCCCCCCUGCCCCUGUAUGUAAAGGAGCAAGGGGGAGGGGGUCGGUCGGCCAGGAGGGGCGCGCCAGGAGGAGUCCUACUCCCACCGGGAGUAGGACUUCCCCCCUUCCUUGUCCAAGUAGGAGAGGGGGAAGGAAGGGAGAGAGGGGAGGAAGGAAAGGGGGGGCGCCCCCCCCCCCCUCCUUGUCCAAUUCGGACUAGAGGGGGAGGGGGCGCGCGGCCUGCCCUGGCCGCCGCUCCUCUUCUCCACUUUGGGCCCAAGUGGCCCAUUAACCCCCCCUGGGGGUUCCGGUAACCCCCCCGGUACUUCGUUAUAUAUCCGAUAACCUCCGAAACUUAUUCUGGUGUCCGAAUAUAGUCGUCCAAUAUACCAAUCUUCAUGUCUCGACCAUUUCGAGACUCCUCGUCAUGUCCGUAAUCACAUUCAGGACUCCGAACAAACUUCGGUACAUCAAAACUCAUAAACUCAUAAUAUAACUGUCAUCGAAACCUUAAGCGUGCGGACCCUACGGGUUCGAGAACUAUGUAGACAUUACCGAGAACCGUUUCCGGUCAAUAACCAAUAGAGGAACCUGGAUUCUCAUAUUGGCUCCUACAUAUUCUACGAAUAUCUUUAUCGAUCAAACCGCAUAACAACAUAUGUUGUUCCCUUUGUCAUCGGUAUGUUAUUUGCCUGAGAUUUGAUCGUCGGUAUCUCCAUACCUAGUUCAAUCUCGUUACUGGCAAGUCUCUUUACUCGUUACGUAAUGCAUUAUUCCGUAACUAACUCAUUAGCUACAUUGCUUGCAAGGCUUAUAGUGAUGUGCAUUACCGAGAGGGCCCAGAGAUACCUCUCCGACAAUCGAAGUGACAAAACCUAAUCUCGAAAUACGCCAACCCAACAUGUACCUUUGGAGACACCUGUAGAGCUCCUUUAUAAUCACCCAGUUACGUUGUGACGUUUGGUAGCACACAAAGUGUUCCUCCGAUAAACGGGAGUUGCAUAAUCUCAUAGUCAUAGGAACAUGUAUAAGUCAUGAAGAAAGUAGUAGCAACAUACUAAACGAUCAAGUGCUAAGCUAACGGAAUGGGUCAAGUCAAUCACAUCAUUCUCCUAAUGAUGUGAUCCCGUUCAUCAAAUGACAACUCAUGUCUAUGGCUAGGAAACUUAACCAUCUUUGAUUCACGAGCUAGUCAAGUAGAGGCAUACUAGUGACACUAAGUUUGUCUAUGUAUUCACACAUGUAUUAUGUUUCCGGUUAAUACAAUUCUAGCAUGAAUAAUAAACAUUUAUCAUGAAAUAAGGAAAUAAAUAAUAACUUUAUUAUUGCCUCUAGGGCAUAUUUCCUUCACUGCGCUCUAGUCUGGGCCUUCGUUAGAAAAUCCGCCAACUGUAACUCGGAAGGCACAUACUGAAGAGCAAUAACCUGAUCCUGCACACCAGCGCGCACAUAGAAAGCAUCAACACCAAUAUGCUUGGUGAGCUCAUGCUUCACAGGAUCGCGUGCAAUGCUAAUAACAUUUGUACUGUCAGACAAGAGUGGAGUAGGUGUAGUAACAGAAACACCAAAAUCCUGAAGUAACCACCGUAACCAAGUCACCUCUGUCGUGAAAAGAGCCAUAGCUCGUAGCUCAGCCUCUGCACUCGAACGGGAAAUUGCAGUCCUUUCUUCGUCUUCCAAGCAAUGAGAGAACCACCAAGAAAAACACAAUAAGCAGAAAGUGAAUGGUGAUCGGAGGGAUCACUAGCCCACGUAGCAUCCGAAUAGGCCUGAAGUUGUAAAUAACUGGAGCGAGGAAAGAAUAGACGGUGAGAGAUCGUGCCCCGAAGAUAUUGGAGAACACGAAGGAGGUGACUAUAGUGGACCAAAGUGGGAGCGAAGACAAACUGACUCAGAAUAUGAACCGGAUAAGAGAUAUCCGGACGAGUGACAACUAGAUAGACAAGAUUCCCAACAAGAUGACGAUAACGCGUCGGGUCAGGCAAGGGGUCACCAUCUGUUGGGGAAUGUUGCAGAAAAUUAAAAUUUUUCCUACGGUUUCACCAAGAUCCAUCUAUGAGUUCAUCUAAGCAACGAGUCGAGGGAGUGAGUUUGCAUCUACAUACCACUUGUAGAUCGCGUGCGGAAGCUUGCAAGGUGAUGAUGGAGUUGUACUCGAACGUGAUUCGAAUCACCGAUGACCAAGUUCUGAACGGACAGCACCUCCGCGUUCAACACACGUACGGGACGGGAGACGUCUCCUCCUUCUUGAUCCAGCAAGGGGAAAGGAGAGGUUGAGGAAGAUAGCUCCACCGGCAGCACGACGGCGUGGUGAUGGUGGAGAGGCAGUACUCCGACAGGGCUUCGCCAAGCACACAACGGAGGAGGAGAGGUGUUGGGGAGGGGAGGGCUGCGCCUUGGAGGGUGGUGCGGCUGCCCUCCCCUCACCCCUCUAUUUAUAGGGGGAAGGGAGAAGGGGGCCGGCCCCCUAGAACCCAUCUAGGGGGGUGCGGCGGCCAAGGGGAGAGGGGGAGAGGGUGGCUUGCCCCCCAAGCCAAGGGGGCGCCCCCUCUAGGGUUCCCCCCUCAACCCUAGGCGCAAGGGCCCAAGGGAGGGGGUGCGGCCAGCCCACCAGGGGCUGGCUCCCUGCCCCACGCAGCCCAUGUGGCCCCCCGGGAGGGGUGGCCCCUCCCGGUGGACCCCCGGAACCCUUCCGGUGGCCCCGGUACAAUACCGGUAUGACCCCGAAACUUCCCGGUGUCCGUUUGACAACUUCCCUUAUAUAAAUCUUUACCUCCGGACCCUUCCGGAGCUCCUCGUGACGUCCAGGAUCCCAUCCGGGACUCCGAACAACAUUCGGUAGUCACAUACUAGUCUUCCUAAUAACCCUAGCGUCACCGAACCUUAAGUGUGUAGACCCUACGGGUUCGGGAGACAUGCAGACAUGACCGAGACGCUCUCAGGUCAAUAACCAACAGUGGGAUCUGGAUACCCAUGAUGGCUCCCACAUGCUCCUCGAUGUUGUCAUCGGAUGAACCACGAUGUCGAGGAUUCGAUCAAACCCUAUAUGCAAUUCCCUUUGUCAAUCGGUAUGUUACUUUCCCGAGACUCGAUCGUCGGUAUCCCAAUACCUUGUUCAGUCUCGUUACCGGCAAGUCACUUUACUCGUACCGUAAUGCAUGAUCCCGUGUCCAACACCUUGGUCACAUUGAGCUCAUAAUGAUGAUGCAUUACCGAGUGGGCCCAGAGAUACCUCUCCAUCAUACGGAGUGACAAAUCCCAGUCUCGAUCCGUGUCAACCCAACAGAUACUUUCGGAGAUACCUGUAAUGCACCUUUAUAGUCACCCAGUUACGUUGUGACGUUUGAUACACCCAAGGCACUCUUACGGUAUCCGGGAGUUACACGAUCUCAUGGUCGAAGGAAGAAAUACUUGACAUUGGCAAAGCUCUAGCAAAACGAACUACACGAUCUUUUAUGCUAUGCUUAGGAUUGGGUCUUGUCCAUCACAUCAUUCUCCUAAUGAUGUGAUCCCGUUAUCAACGACAUCCAAUGUCCAUAGUCAGGAAACCAUGACUAUCUGUUGAUCACAACGAGCUAGUCAACUAGAGGCUCACCAGGGACAUAUUGUGGUCUAAGUAUUCACACGUGUAUUACGAUUUCCGGAUAAUACAGUUAUAGCAUGAAUAAAAGACAUUUAUCAUGAACAUUGAAAUAUAAUAAUACUUUUAUUAUUGCCUCUAGGGCAUAUUUCCAACAGUCUCCCACUUGCACUAGAGUCACUAAUCUAGUUACAUUGUGAUGAAUCGAACACCCAUAGAGUUCUGGUGUUGAUCAUGUUUUGCACGCGAGGGAGGUUUAGUCAGCGGAUCUGCGACAUUCAGAUCCGUGUGCACUUUGCAAAUCUCUAUGUCUCCAUCUUGAACAUUUUCACGGAUGGAGUUGAAACGACGCUUGAUGUGCCUGGUCUUCUUGUGAAACCUGGGCUCCUUGGCGAGGGCAAUAGCUCCAGUGUUGUCACAGAAGAGUUUGAUCGGCCCCGACACAUUGGGUAUGACUCCUAGGUCGGUGAUGAACUCCUUCACCCAAAUCGCUUCAUGCGCUGCCUCCGAGGCUGCCAUGUACUCCGCUUCACAUGUAGAUCCCGCCACGAUGCUCUGCUUGCAGCUGCACCAGCUUACUGCUCCACCAUUCAACAUAUACACGUAUCCGGUUUGUGACUUAGAGUCAUCCAGAUCUGAGUCGAAGCUAGCGUCGACGUAACCCUUUACGAUGAGCUCUUCGUCUCCUCCAUAAACGAGAAACAUGUCCUUCGUCCUUUUCAAGUACUUCAGGAUAUUCUUGACCGCUGUCCAGUGUUCCUUGCCGGGAUUACCUUGGUAUCUUGCUACCAAACUUACGGCAAGGUUUACAUCGGGUCUGGUACACAACAUGGCAUACAUAAUAGAUCCUAUGGCUGAAGCAUAGGGGAUGACACUCAUCUCUUCUUUAUCUUUUGCCGUGGUCGGUGACUAAGCCGAGCUCAGUCUCACACCUUGUAACAUAGGCAAGAACCCCUUCUUGGACUGAUCCAUUUUGAACCUCUUCAAAAUCUUAUCAAGGUAUGUGCUUUGUGAAAGACCUAUGAGGCGUCUCGAUCUAUCUCUAUAGAUCUUGAUGCCUAAUAUGUAAGCAGCUUCUCCAAGGUCCUUCAUUGAAAAACACUUAUUCAAGUAGGCCUUAAUGCUGUCCAGAAAUUCUAUAUUAUUUCCCAUCAAGAGUAUGUCAUCUACAUAUAAUAUGAGAAAUGCUACAGAGCUCCCACUCACUUUCUUGUAAACGCAGGCUUCUCCAUAAGUCUGCAUAAACCCAAAUGCUUUGAUCAUCUCAUCAAAGCGAAUGUUCCAACUCCGAGAUGCUUGCACCAGUCCAUAAAUGGAUCGCUGGAGCUUGCAUACUUUGUUAGCAUUCCGAGGAUCGACAAAACCUUCCGGCUGCAUCAUAUACAACUCUUCCUUAAGAUGCCCGUUAAGGAAUGCCGUUUUGACGUCCAUCUGCCAUAUCUCAUAAUCAUAGUAUGCGGCAAUUGCUAACAUGAUUCGGACGGACUUCAGCUUCGCUACGGGAGAGAAAGUCUCGUCGUAGUCAAUCCCUUGAACUUGUCGAUAACCCUUAGCGACAAGUCGAGCCUUAUAGAUGGUAACAUUGCCAUCCGCGUCCGUCUUCUUCUUAAAAAUCCAUUUGUUUUCUAUCGCUCGCCGAUCAUCGGGCAAGUCUGUCAAAGUCCAUACUUUGUUUUCAUACAUGGAUUCUAUCUCAGAUUUCAUGGCUUCAAGCCAUUUGUUGGAAUCCGGGCCCGCCAUCGCUUCUUCAUAGUUCGAAGGUUCAUUGUUGUCUAACAACAUGAUUUCCAGGACAGGGUUGCCGUACCACUCUGGUGCGGAACGUGUCCUUGUGGACCUGCGAAGUUUAGUAGCAACUUGAUCCGAAGUACCUUGAUCAUCAUCAUUGUUUUCCUCUUCAGUUGGUGUGGGCAUCACAGGAACGGUUUCCUGCGCUGCGCCACUUUCCCGCUCAAGAGGUAGUACUUCAUCGAGUUCUACUUUCCUCCCACUUACUUCUUUCGAGAGAAACUCUUUUUCCAGAAAGCAUCCGUUCUUGGCAACAAAGAUCUUGCCUUCGGAUCUUAAGUAGAAGGUAUACCCGACAGUUUCCUUAGGGUAUCCUAUGAAUACGCAUUUUUCCGACUUGGGUUCGAGCUUUUCAGGUUGAAGUUUCUUGACAUAAGCAUCGCAUCCCCAAACUUUUAGAAAUGACAGCUUAGGUUUCUUUCCAAACCAUAAUUCAUACGGUGUCGUCUCAACGGAUUUAGACGGUGCCCUAUUUAAAGUGAAUGUAGCUGUCUCUAGAGCGUAUCCCCAAAAUGAUAGCGGUAAAUCGGUAAGAGACAUCAUCGACCGCACCAUAUCCAAUAGAGUGCGAUUACGACGUUCGGACACACCGUUUCGCUGAGGUGUUCCAGGCGGCGUGAGUUGUGAAACGAUUCCACAUUUCCUUAAGUGUGUACCAAAUUCGUGACUUAAGUAUUCUCCUCCACGAUCUGAUCGUAAGAAUUUUAUCUUUCGGUCACGUUGAUUCUCUACCUCAUUCUGAAAUUCCUUGAACUUUUCAAAGGUCUCAGACUUGUGUUUCAUUAAGUAGACAUACCCAUAUCUACUCAAGUCAUCAGUGAGAGUGAGAACAUAACGAUAUCCUCCGCGAGCCUCAACGCUCAUUGGACCGCACACAUCGGUAUGUAUGAUUUCCAACAAGUUGGUUGCUCGCUCCAUUGUUCCGGAGAACGGAGUCUUGGUCAUUUCGCCCAAGAGGCAUGGUUUGCAUGUGUCAAAUGAUUCAUAAUCAAGAGACUCCAAAAGUCCAUCAGCAUGGAGCUUCUUCAUGCGCUUGACACCAAUGUGAGCAAGGCGGCAGUGCCACAAGUAUGUGGGACUAUCGUUAUCAACUUUACAUCUUUUGGCAUCUACACUAUGAACAUGUGUAAUAUUACGCUCGAGAUUCAUUAAGAAUAAACCAUUGACCAUCGGAGCAUGACCAUAAAACAUAUCUCUCAUAUAAAUCAAACAACCAUUAUUCUCAGACUUAAAUGAGUAGCCAUCUCGUAUUAAACGAGAUCCAGAUACAAUGUUCAUGCUCAAACUUGGCACUAAAUAACAAUUAUUAAGGUUCAAAACUAAUCCCGUAGGUAAAUGUAGAGGCAGCAUGCCGACGGCGAUCACAUCGACUCUGGAACCAUUCCCGACGCGCAUAGUCACCUCGUCCUUCGCCAGUCUCCGUUUAUUCCGCAGCUCCUGCUGUGAGUUACAAAUAUGAGCAACGGCACCGGUAUCAAAUACCCAGGAGUUACUACGAGUACUGGUAAGGUACACAUCAAUCACAUGUAUAUCAAAUACCUUUGGUGUUGCCGGCCUUCUUAUCCGCUAAGUAUUUGGGGCAGUUCCGCUUCCAGUGACCCUUCCCCUUGCAAUAAAAGCACUCAGUCUCAGGCUUGGGUCCAUUCUUUGACUUCUUCCCGGUAACUGGCUUACCAGGCGCGGCAACCUCCUUGCCGUCCUUCUUGAAGUUCUUCUUACCCUUGCCCUUCUUGAACUUAGUGGUCUUAUUGACCAUCAACACUUGAUGUUCUUUCUUGAUUUCAGCCUCUGCUGACUUCAGCAUCGAGAACACUUCAGGAAUGGUCUUUUCCAUCCCCUGCAUGUUGUAGUUCAUCACAAAGCUCUUGUAGCUUGGUGGGAGCGACUGGAGGAUUCUGUCAAUGACCGCCUCAUCUGGGAGGUUAAUGUUCAGCUGGGUCAUACGGUUGUGCAACCCAGACAUCUUCAGGAUGUGCUCACUGACAGAACUGUUUUCCUCCAUCUUACAACUGUAGAACUUGUCGGAGACAUCAUAUCUCUCGACCCGGGCAUGAGCUUGGAAAACUAGUUUCAGCUCUUCGAACAUCUCAUAUGCUCCAUGAUGCUCAAAACGCUUUUGGAGCCCCGGUUCUAAGCUGUAAAGCAUGCCGCACUGAACGAGGGAGUAAUCAUCAGCGCGAGUUUGCCAAGCAUUCAUAAUGUCUUGGUUCUCUGGGACGGGAGCGUCACCUAGCGGUCCUUCUAGGACAUAUUGUUUCCUGGCAGCUAUGAGGAUGAUCCUCAGGUUCCGGACCCAGUCCGUAUAGUUGCUGCCAUCAUCUUUCAGCUUGGUUUUCUCUAGGAACGCGUUGAAGUUCAUGUUGACAUUAGCGUUGGCCAUUGAUCUACAAGACAUAUUUGCAAAGUUUUUAGACUAUGUUCAUGAUAAUAAAGUUCUAAUCAAAUUAUGAACUCCCACUUAGAUUAGACAUCCCUUUAGUCAUCUAAGUGUUACACGAUCCGAGUCGACUAGCCCGUGUCCGAUCAUCACGUGAGACGGACUAGUCAUCGUCGGUGAACAUUUUCAUGUUGAUCGUAUCUUCUAUACGAUUCGUGUUCGACCUUUCGGUCUCCGUGUUCCGAGGCCAUGUCUGCACAUGCUAGGCUCGUCAAGUUAACCCUAAGUGUUUUCGCUGUGUAAAACUGUCUUACACCCGUUGUAUGUGAACGUAAGAAUCCAUCACACCCGAUCAUCACGUGGUGCUUAGAAACGACGAACUGUAGCAACGGUGCACAGUUAGGGGAGAACACUUCUUGAAAUUUUAUAAGGGAUCAUCUUAUUUACUACCGUCGUCCUAAGUAAACAAGAUGCAUAAUACAUAAUAAACAUCACAUGCAAUUAUAGUUGUGACAUGAUAUGGCCAAUAUCAUAUAGCUCCAUUGAUCUUCAUCUUCGGGGCUCCAUGAUCAUCUUGUCACCGGCUUGACACCAUGAUCUCCAUCAUCAUGAUCUCCAUCAUCGUGUCUUCAUGAAGUUGUCACGCCAACGACUACUUCUACUUCUAUGACUAACGUUUAGCAAUAAAGUAAAGUAGUUUACAUGACGUUAUUCAAUGACACGCAGGUCAUACAAAAAAUAAAGACAACUCCUAUGGCUCCUGCCGGUUGUCAUACUCAUCGACAUGCAAGUCGUGAUUCCUAUUACAAAGAACAUGAUCUCAUACAUCACAAUUCAUCAUUCAUCACAACUUCUGGCCAUAUCACAUCACAUGAUCAAUCGCUGCAAAAACAAGUUAGACGUCCUCUAAUUGUUGUUGCAUCUUUUACGUGGCUGCAAUUGGGUUCUAGCAAGAACAUUUUCUUACCUACGAAUCACCACAACGUGAUUUUGUCAACUUCUAUUUACCCUUCAUAAGGGCCAUGUUCAUCGAUUCCGCUCCAACUAAAGUGGGAGAGACAGACACCCGCCAGCCACCUUAUGCAACUAGUGCAUGUCAGUCGGUGGAACCGGUCUCACGUAAGCGUACGUGUAAGGUUGGUCCGGGCCGCUUCAUCCCACAAUACCGUUGAGCAAGAAAAGACUAGUAGAUGCAAGUAAGAUGACAAAAUCCACGCCCACAACAAAAUUGUGUUCUACUCGUGCAAAGAGAACUACGCAUAGACCUAGCUCAUGAUGCCACUGUUGGGGAACGUUGCAGAAAAUUAAAAAUUUUCCUACGGUUUCACCAAGAUCCAUCUAUGAGUUCAUCUAAGCAACGAGUCGAGGGAGUGAGUUUGCAUCUACAUACCACUUGUAGAUCGCGUGCGGAAGCUUGCAAGGUGAUGAUGGAGUCGUACUCGAACGUGAUUCGAAUCACCGAUGACCAAGUGCUGAACGGACAGCACCUCCGCGUUCAACACACGUACGGGACGGGAGACGUCUCCUCCUUCUUGAUCCAGCAAGGGGAAAGGAGAGGUUGAGGAAGACAGCUCCACUGGAAGCACGACGGCGUGGUGAUGGUGGAGAGGCAGUACUCCGACAGGGCUUCACCAAGCACACAACGGAGGAGGAGAGGUGUUGGGGAGGGGAGGGCUGCGCCUUGGAGGGUGGUGCGGCUGCCCUCCCCUCACCCCUCUAUUUAUAGGGGGAAGGGAGAAGGGGGCCGGCCCCCUAGAACCCAUCUAGGGGGGUGCGGCGGCCAAGGGGAGAGGGGGAGAGGGUGGCUUGCCCCCCAAGCCAAGGGGGCGCCCCCUCUAGGGUUCCCCCCUCAACCCUAGGCGCAAGGGCCCAAGGGAGGGGGUGCGGCCAGCCCACCAGGGGCUGGCUCCCUGCCCCACGCAGCCCAUGUGGCCCCCCGGGAGGGGUGGCCCCUCCCGGUGGACCCCCGGAACCCUUCCGGUGGCCCCGGUACAAUACCGGUAUGACCCCGAAACUUCCCGGUGUCCGUUUGACAACUUCCCAUGUAUAAAUCUUUACCUCCGGACCCUUCCAGAGCUCCUCGUGACGUCCAGGAUCCCAUCCGGGACUCCGAACAACAUUCGGUAGUCACAUACUAGUCUUCCUAAUAACCCUAGCGUCACCGAACCUUAAGUGUGUAGACCCUACGGGUUCGGGAGACAUGCAGACAUGACCGAGACGCUCUCAGGUCAAUAACCAACAGCGGGAUCUGGAUACCCAUGAUGGCUCCCACAUGCUCCUCGAUGUUGUCAUCGGAUGAACCACGAUGUCGAGGAUUCGAUCAAACCCUGUAUGCAAUUCCCUUUGUCAAUCGGUACGUUACUUUCCGGAGACUCGAUCGCCGGUAUCCCAAUACCUUGUUCAGUCUCGUUACCGGCAAGUCACUUUACUCGUACCGUAAUGCAUGAUCCCGUGUCCAACACCUUGGUCACAUUGAGCUCAUAAUGAUGAUGCAUUACCGAGUGGGCCCAGAGAUACCUCUCCGUCAUACGGAGUGACAAAUCCCAGUCUCGAUCCGUGUCAACCCAACAGAUACUUUCGGAGAUACCUGUAAUGCACCUUUAUAGUCACCCAGUUACGUUGUGACGUUUGAUACACCCAAGGCACUCUUACGGUAUCCGGGAGUUACACGAUCUCAUGGUCGAAGGAAGAAAUACUUGACAUUGGCAAAGCUCUAGCAAAACGAACUACACGAUCUUUUAUGCUAUGCUUAGGAUUGGGUCUUGUCCAUCACAUCAUUCUCCUAAUGAUGUGAUCCCGUUAUCAACGACAUCCAAUGUCCAUAGUCAGGAAACCAUGACUAUCUGUUGAUCACAACGAGCUAGUCAACUAGAGGCUCACCAGGGACAUAUUGUGGUCUAAGUAUUCACACGUGUAUUACGAUUUCCGGAUAAUACAGUUAUAGCAUGAAUAAAAGACAUUUAUCAUGAACAUUGAAAUAUAAUAAUACUUUUAUUAUUGCCUCUAGGGCAUAUUUCCAACACCAUCAGUAUCACGGAGGUUAACAUUGAGCUCCAGGGGAGUCUCAACAAUGCGCUCAUCAGAAAGAGCAGCACGAACAAGAAGAUCAUGUAUAUACUUUUCCUGGGAUAUAAAAAAGCCAUUAGAGGUAGAAGAGACUUCAAUAGCAAAGAGGUCCAAGAUCGGACAUAAGAAACUGCUCACUAAGACGGGCCUUUACAAAGGCAAUAUACUCGGGGUCAUCACCAGUGAUGAUCAUGUCAUCAACAUAGAUAAGAAGAAGAGUCCGACCACGAGGAGAAAGGUGGACAAACAAUGCUGGAUCAUGAGCACUCGCUGAAAAACCAGCGGUAGUCACCAUAGAGGCAAAACGCUCAAACCAGGCGCGGGGAGCUUGCUUAAGGCCAUAGAGAGAACGACAAAGACGACAUACCAUGCCAUCAGGAAUAGAAUACCCAGGUGGUGGCUGCAUGUAUACCUCCUCACCCAGCUCACGGUUAAGAAAGGCAUUCUUAACAUCAAGCUGAGAUACAGACCAGUGGCGUGCAGAGGCCACGACAAGAAGUGUGCGGAUAGUGGUCAUAUGGGCCACAGGAGAAAAUGUCUCGUCAUAAUUACGACCAUGCUCCUGCUGAAAACCCCGAGCCACAAGACGAGCUUUGUAACGCUCAAGAGAACCAUCAGAGCGAGUCUUAACCUUGUAGACCCACUUACAAGUGAUGGGACGGACACCAGGAGGAAGAGAAACAAGAUCCCAUGUACCAGUGCGUUCAAGAGUAGCAAUCUCCUCUACCAUCGGAAACUGCCAUUCAGGAUGAACAACAGCCUCACGAUAAGAAGUUGGCUCAAGAACAACAGUACCAGCGGUUGAAAAACCAAGGCGAUCAACACGCGGAAGCAGACGAGGACGCAAGCUAUAGGUAGGCUGAGACGAGGAGGAGGACACGUCAACAGACACAUCCACAUCACGUGAACAACGAGUGUAAUACCGAGGCAAAGAUGGAAGAAUACGAGGAGGAAUAGCCAAGGUAGAAUCAAGAGGUGGAAACAAAGAAAUCACCAAGGAGGGAGGUGCAGAAUCUGGUGACAUGCGAGGUGAGGAAACCGUCGGAGAUGGUGGAGAAGGAGAGUGAGCAGGACGAAGAGACAAGGGCUCGACUGGAGUGAUAGGUGUGUCGGGAAAAGUGAGGAAAGAGAUAUCCUCCACAGAAAAGGUCAAGGCAGAUGGACGCGGGUAGAAGGGACGAGACUCAUCAAAAGUCACAUCCCGAGAAAUACGCAUCCGAUGAUCGAUAGGAUCCCAACAACAAUAGCCCUUAUGCUCAUCACUAUAGCCUAAGAAAACACACUCCACAGACUGAGCGGUCAGUUUGGUGCGUUCGUGAGGGGCAAGAAGAACAUAGCAAACACAACCAAACAAGCGAAGCAUCGAAUAAUCAGGAGAACGAUCAAAGAGACACUCGAAAGGAACACCACCCUGGAGAGUAGUGGACGGAUGAAGGUUGAUGAGAUAGGUGGAGGUGAAUAUAGCCUCGGCCCAAAAAUGAGGGGAAGAGAAGCGGCGAUCAUCUACGCACGAGCCGUCUCAAGAAGGUGGCGGUGCUUUUGCUCAGCCACGCCAUUCUGAGCAUGAGCACCAGGAUAAGAGAACUGAGGAAGAGUGCCCUGCUCAGCAAGAACACCACGCAACAUCUUGGAAAUAUACUCGCCAACGGAGUCAGCACGGAACACACGAAUAGGCGAAGAGAACUGAGUGUGAACCAUGGCAGCAAAACGCUUAUAGAUGGAAAGAACCUCACUGCGGGAAGUCAUAAAAUAAAGCCAAGUGUAACGAGAGAAAUCAUCGAUGAAAAUAAUAUAGUAUCGAUGGCCCCCUUUCGAAGCGAAGGGAGCCGGACCCCAUACAUCAGAAUGGACUAAAUCAAAAGGAUGUUGAGACACCGACUCGCUAGUAGGGUAAGGUAACUGAAUCUGUUUUCCUAGUCUACGGCCCUGACACUCUAAAGAGACAUCUCCUGAGACAGACCCCAGAAGACCUCGACGAACUAAUGAUGACAAGCGAGACCCACAAAGAUGACCAAGUCGAUGAUGCCACUGCUGGAAGGAGCCGGUAGCUGAAGCGACAAAAGCAGAUGGACUGGCGAUAGUGGUGGCAACGGAAGGAACAUGAAGCUAGUCUAGCUCCCAAAGACCUGAGAGUCACGGCAGCGAGGGUCGGCCCCAACCAAAGUGUGCAUUUGACGAUCCUGAAUAGAACAAGAGUCAAUGUCAAGGAUGACGUGACAACCAGAAUCAGUAAGUUGACCGAUAGAAAAAAAAUAUUCAUGGUAAGUCGAGGAACAUGAGCAACAUUAGGAACAUAGUAAGAAGGUGUGGUAAGAUUGCCUCGACUGGUAACAGAAAGAGGAGUACCAUCAGCAGUGAGUACAUGAACAGGAAAAUCAACCGAUUUAAGAGAGGACAAAUUGGAAGAAUGAGAAGACAUAUGAAAAGAAGCUCCGGAGUCCAGAACCCACGAGGAUGUACCUGACUGUGUAGAGGGUGGUUGCUUAGUGCGGGAAGCGUUAGUCACAGAACCUGCAGUACCCGUCAAAGGAGAACCUGAAGCGGCAAGCAUACGCUGAAGUCGCAGAAUAUCCUACUCAGUCAAGGCAGUGGCUGAAGAUGUCGAAGUAGAGGAAGUCCCUGAAGUUGAUGAUCAUGCCUUACGCAAGUGUUUCUUCUUCUGGAAGCACUGAGACUCAACAUGACCACCUAUCUUGCAGUAGCCGCAGUGAGGACGAGACCGACCCUAGCCGCCCGUAGGAGUAGGCAAGAGCGGCAGAGCACUCGAGUGGGAAGGAGUCGGUGCAGCAUGCAUAGCAGGAACUCGAGUAGCGAGCACAGAGGGAACAUCAAGUAAACCAGUGACACGGAGGCGAGUCUCCUCAGCACGGAUCUCAGAAAGUGCCUCCAUGAGGGAGAUACGACCACGAGCAAACAACUGAGCACGCCGGGGCUCAAACUCCUUACGGAGUCGAGACAAGAACUCGUAGACACGUUGAAACUCCAAAUCAGCCUGCACAGCCUGGCAACACUAACAAGUACGACAACCAGCAGUGCAGAGAGAAUCAAGCUGACGCCAGAUAGCAUAAUUCUAUGCAUAGAACUCAUCAACAAUGGAGUCACCCUGCUGAAGAGCAUGCUCCUGACGAACCAUAGACAGGUAUAAAGCAUCACCAGAGGGCUGAUAGCACUGACGAAGCCGAGCCCACGUCUCAAAGACAGUAGAGAGGUCGAGAAACUCAGAGGCAAACCGAGGCAGAACACUAGCAGUGAGAACAGCGGCGGCACGAGCAUCAUCAUCAAGCCACUGAGUGUAAGCAGAUAGAGCUGCAUGAUAAGUCUGAAGUGUGUCCUCAUAGGUCUAAACCUGCUCAUCAUAAGCGAGAACGACAUCGUCAUCAGCCAGCUUAGCUGCAUCCUUCGCAGCCUGAUCAGCAUCGACAGCAAUAACCGGUGGCGUCGGUGGAGUAGGAGCCAUAGGAGGAACUGGACACAGCGGACUGGGGACCUCGCCAGAUAGAACGCCCCAGAGACGAAGGCCACGCAUGUGAAUGCGCAUGAAGCCGACAAACUCAAUGUAGUUGGUACCAUAAAAAAUCAUCGGACAGCGAGGAACAACAACAUAGCCAGAGGACAGAGACAUCAUGCCUGUUUUUUUACAGAUGAUCAGGAGCCUCAAUCUGCAGCAGCGGAGGGAUCAGACCGAAGGACGAUCAGGAGUCUCGAUCGAGACCUGACGGUUGGAUCGAGGGCAGUUGGGACCCGGCUACAGCAGCGAUGGAACCUGGCGGCUGGGUCACGAGCAGAAACAGUUGGCUGGAGCAUGGGUGGGACCUGGCGGUGAUGCAGAUUAGAAGCAGAGGCGGGAGUCUCGAACGGGACCGUCUUUGCUCGAUCUGGGCAGGGAAAUCGAUCGAUCAGGGGCGAUGGCGAGAGUCUUCGAUCGGGGGUGGCGGCUAUCAGGCGGCAGCGGCCUCACGAGACAGAGGCGGAUGAGGGCCGGUCGGGGGUGGGAGGGAGAAAAACCAGUAGCAACCUGAGGAUUUGGCCACCACGGAGAGUUAGCGCUGCCAAGGAUGGAGGCGUCGCGAUGGAGGUGGUUCAACAGCACGAGUUGCACGUGCUAUAAAAUUGACCUAGCUCUAAUACCAUGAUAGGAAUAUGCAACUUGUAUUCCCAGGUGGCCAUAGGCCAGUAUAUAUACAUGUACAGGUGUGGAAUAUAUGCAGGAAACCCCUUAUACAAUAGGGUAAAUACGAAAGGUUACAUGGCUAUAUAUAUAUAUAUAUAACUCUAACAGAGUCAAGGGCUUUGCUAUCUUGCUAUGAUGAGGGAAUAAAAGAAAGAAAUAAAGAGAAAUAAAAGAGAUCAUAUUGAUCUUAUGGAGAGUAAUGACUUCACAUAUAAAGAGUAUGAUGAUUAAAAGUUGUUGAGAGUUGACAAACAUGGUUUUGGUCAUCGUUGCAAUUAAUAGGAAGUAAUAAAGAAAGAGAGGUUCUCACAUAUAAAUAUACUAUCUUGGACAUCUUUUAUGAUUGUGAGCACUCAUUAAAAUAUGACAUGCUAAAGAGUUGAUGUUGGAGAAGGAACACAACGUAAUGAGUUAUGUUUUCUUAUAUCUGAAAUAAAGUAUAUUGUCAUGGAUCAUCCAACAUGUUGAGCUUGCCUUUCCCCCUCAUGCUAGCCAAAUUCCUUGCACCAAGUAGAGAUACUACUUGUGCUUCCAAAUAUCCUUAAACCCAGUUUUGCCAUGAGAGUCCACCAUAUCUACCUAUGGAUUGAGUAAGAUCCUUCAAGUAAGUUGUCAUGUUGCAUGCAAUAAAAAAUUGCUUUCUUAAUAUGUAUAACUUAUUAGUGUGGAGAAAAUAAGCUUUAUACGAUCUUGUGAUAUGGAAGUAAUAAAAGCGACGGACUGCAUAAUAAAGGUCCAUAUCACAAGUGGCAAUAUAAAGUGACGUUCUUUUGCAUUAAGAUUUCGUGCAUCCAACCAUAAAAGCACAUGACAACCUCUACUUCCCUCUGCGAAGGGCCUAUCUUUUAUUCUUGUCUUAUACAUUAUGCUAGAGUCAAGGUGAUCUUCACCUUUCCCUUUUACAUUUUAUCCUUUGGCAAGCACCAUGUGUUGGAAAGAUCCUGAUACAUAUAUCCAAUUGGAUGUAAGUUAGCAUGAACUAUUAUUGUUGACAUUACCCUUGAGGUAAAAGGUUGGGAGGCAACACUAUAAGCCCCUAUCUUUCUUUGUGUCCGAUUAAAACUCCAUACCCAUAAGUAUUGCGUGAGUGUUAGCAAUUGUGAAAGACUAAAUGAUAGUUGAGUAUGUGGACUUGCUGAAAAGCUCUUAUAUUGACUCUUUCCGAUGUUAUGAUAAAUUGCAAUUGCUUCAAUCACCGAGAUUAUAGUUUGUUAGUUUUCAAUGAAGUUUCUGAUUCAUACUGGAUAUUGUGAAUAGAUUGUUACUUUAGCGUAAGAAAUCAUAUGACAAAAUAUAUGUAUGUUGCUGUUAUAAGAAAGAUCAUGAUGCCCUCAUGUCCGUAUUUUAUUUUAUAGACACCUCAAUCUCUAAACAUGUGGACAUAUUUUUCGAUUUAGGCUUCCGCUUGAGGACAAGCGAGGUCUAAGCUUGGGAGAGUCGAUACGUCCAUUUUGCAUCAUGCUUUUAUAUCGAUAUUUAUUGCAUUAUGGGUUGUUAUUACAUGUUACGUCACAAUACUUAUGUCUAUUCUCUCUUAUUUUACAAGGUUUACAUGAAAAGGGAGAAUGUCGGCAGCUGGGAUUCUGGGCAGGAAAAGGAGCAAAUAUUAGAGACCUAUUCUGCACAACUCCAAAAGUCAUGAAACUCCACGAAGUCAUUUUUGGAAUUAAUAAAAAAUACCGAGCGGAAGAAAUACCAGAGGGGGGCCAUCCACCGUCCACGAGGGUGGGGGCGUGCCCUACCCCCCUGGGCGCGCCCCCUGCCUCGUGGACCCCCUGGCAGCCUUUCGGUGACCAUCUUCUGCUAUAUGAAGUCUUUUACCAUGGAAAAAAUCAUAAGCAAGCUUUCGGGACGAAACUCCGCCGCCACAAGGCGGAACCUUGGCGAAACUAAUCUAGGGCUCCGGCGGAGCUGUUCUGUCGGGGAAACAUCCCUCCGGGAGGGGGAAAUCAUCGCCAUCGUCAUCACCAUCGAUCCUCUCAUCGGGAGGGGGUCAAUCUCCAUCAACAUCUUCACUAACACCAUCUCCUCUCAAACCCUAGUUCAUCUCUUGUAUUCAAUCUUUGUCCCAAAACCCCAGAUUGGUACCUGUAGGUUGCUAGUAGUGUUGAUUACUCCUUGUAGUUGAUGCUAGUUGGUUUAUUCGGUGGAAGAUCAUAUGUUCAGAUCCUUAAUGCAUAUUAAUACCCCUCUGAUUAUGAACAUGAAUAUGAUUUGUGAGUAGUUACGUCUGUUCCUGAGGACAUGGGAGAAGUCUUGCUAUAAGUAGUCAUGUGAAAUUGGUAUUCGUUCGAUAUUUUGAUGAGAUGUAUGUUGUCUCUCCUCUAGUGGUGUUAUGUGAACGUCAACUACAUGACACUUCACCAUUGCUAGAGUGACAAAAGUUUAAACCCUAGUUUAUGCGUUGCUUCGUAAGGGGCUGAUUUGGAUCCAUAUGUUUCAUGCUAUGGUUAGGUUUAACUUAAUACUUCUUUUGUAGUUGCGGAUGCUUGCAAUAGGGGUUAAUCAUAAGUAGGAUGCUUGUCCAAGAAAGGGUAGUACCCAAGCACCGGUCCACCCACAUAUCAAAUUAUCAAAGUAACGAAUGCGAAUCAUAUGAGCGUGAUGAAAACUAGCUUGACGAUAAUUCCCAUGUGUCCUCGGGAGCGUUUUCCUUCACAUAAUAAUUUGUCCAGGAUUGUCCUUUGCUACAAAAAGGAUUGGGACACCUUAUUUACUUUCAAAGCUUGUUACCCGUUACAAAUUACCUUAUCACAAAACUAUCUGUUACCGAUAAUUUUAGUGCUUGCAGAGAAUACCUUGAUGAAAACCACUUGUCAUUUCCUUCUGCUCCUCGUUGGGUUCGACACUCUUACUUAUCGAAAGGACUACGAUAGAUCCCCUACACUUGUGGGUCAUCAACUACUCGCAUAGGAUUUUGUUUAGCAUCAGAGAAUCAAAGUUUCAAACACUAUCCCCGUGUUAAUAGUAUGGUGAUCCUGUGAUUCAAUAAUGAGAAAGAAGAACAAUGAAAUAAAUGGUACGUCUUCACUUCGUCUUCAACUUCUCGGCUGCAGUCAAUUACUUUGGACAGACACCAAACCGAUUGUUUUGCAUAAACAAUUUUUGGGGGCCACUCUCGACAGCACAAUCUUCAGUGAUAAUCCUCGCUGCCAUGCAGGAGAUUAUCUUCGGAGUUUGAAUCAAACUUUUCAUGACUCUAGGGACCCGUUACUCUAUGUGCACUAGCAAACACUUACUGCCUAUGUCAACAAUCUCCAAAACAUAAGGAGGCAAAUUAUUGCACUAACAAUACCUAGGGUGAUCGAGGAGAUCCGAAGGCAUGUGGGAGCACCGAUAGUUGAUCUCCAGCAGACAGGUGCGGUCGCUCGCCAAGAUUGGCGGCACGGGCACCCAAUCUGGGUUGAGAUGUCACCCAUUCGGGAGAUGCACAUCGGACCACGACAGCGGGGUGGUCGUGUCCCAAUAGAGCUAGCACACCUCCACCUUGACGUAUGACCGUGGGCGGUGAAAUAGCAAAGGCGGUGGGCGUCGAGAUGGAGUAGGCAACGACGCUCCCCAAUGACGUGAAGAACGACCCUGCUUCGUGGUCUUGCUUUCUCUUCUUGCCGGGGAUCCACUUCCACAUCCCCAUGGCUGGUCGGCGGCCGGCGGGAGCGAGGGCAGUGCUAGGAUUGGGCUUGUCGGGGCACGAAGCGACAUUAGAAGAGUGUGGACAAUUUCAGAAGUGGACUGGCCGGUCGACGGCUUCAUCAUUAAAAAGGACGCGUUGAGGGCGGCUGGGAGGCUCAUGUGCGGGCCCAUCCACACGUGCGGAUUAAAUGGGGCCGAUGGGAACCAGUUGCAUUGCUGAGAUGUGGGCCCGAGGGCGAACGACGAGAGGACACGUGCAAGUCUAUGAUGUGUUCGUCUGAGCGUAAAUCCGGCUAAAAUUUGCGUCGGAAUUGGGUCGGGCAAGUCAGACAUAAUUUGCCCCCGAACGCGAGUGUUGGGCCCAUACCUGGCCAAACGGGCCAGCCCAGCCCGGCAUGGCCCGCGUCGGGAUGAACAAUAACUGGGUCGUGCCGUGCCGGCCCACGGGCUGGAGCUAGCAGCCCAGACACGACACGUAGGCGACGUGGGCCGGCACGCCGGCCCGUUGCGGCGUGUUGGGCCGCCUGGCGCAUUUUUUUUCUUUUUUGUUCGUAAUACCUCUAAAAAUAGCGAAAAGGCCAAAAAAAUGUAGAAAAUUGGAAAAUUUGUUAGACUAUUAUGUGGGAUAAAUCUAGAGCUUUAUUAGCACCUACAUCAUUAAAAACUUCCAUCUCAAAUAAGUAAAAGAAUACAAGACAUGCUAUAGAAUUACAAAAGGAUAAAAAAAAUACAAAGGCUGAGAAUGGACGUUUGCCUCUCGGCCUCCAUGGAGGCCUUUUUUUGAAAAUAAAUCAAAAUUCAAAGUUUCAAUUUUUUUUGAAAAAAAGUAUGCAAAUAAACAAGAAUGUUAUGUGUAUGUGGGUAAAAUUUCAGGAUGAAAAACAUUGAGAUGCGACCUGUACAAAAAUGAUAAAUUCAUGGCCCGGGAGGAUGAAUAGUAUCAUGUGUUAAAAAGCCCUAGAUUUGUCUUUUUUGCACAGGCCUCAUUUCAACGUAUUUUGCCCUGAAAAUUUACACACAUGUGUUAUGCGUUCAUGUAUAUCUGUGCUUUUUUUUCAGAAUUUUUUAAAAUGCAGAAAAUAUGAAAUUUGAUGAAAUUCAAAAUUUUCAAAACCGAGCUCCAUGGAGCUCGGCCUCCAAAGACAAUAUUCGACAAAGACUACACUAUAUAACACUACUAAUACUCAGAUGAAGAUCCUAGCGCUAAUAAAAUAUGCAUGCACGACAAAAAGUUUGAACAUAUUAGAGUAUUAUAGGUAUUUAUAUAGGACAUAUAUAAUUAUAUAUUUUAAAAAAAUAAACGGGCCGUGCCGUGCCGGCCCGCGUGCCCAGCCUCCAGGACCAGGCACGGCCCAUGGCAUGCCGCGUGCCGGGCCUGGCCUGUUUAGCCCAGGCCGUGCCGUGUCGGGUCGUGCCGUGCCCGCGUGCUACCGGGCCGGCCCAGUUAGCACGGCCCGUUUGGCCAGCUAUAGUUGUGCCGUGGCAUUUGUCCCCGGACCAAGGUCGUGCGUUGUGCGUUGGAGUUGACCCAGUCUCAUUCGUCUCGCCCGCCCCCGGUUUCCGUUUCCGGUUCCAUCCCGAGUUCCGCCUCCGGUCUCUCCUCCGCCGGCGCAGGAUGGCGGCGGCCGCGGGCACAGCGAGGCAGGAGGGCGCGGCGCCCAGGGUGGGGCUGCUGUACGACCAGAGGAUGCUGGCGCACGCGCCUGCCUUGAACACAGAAAAGGAGACCCCCGAGCGGCUACGCGCCAUCUGGCGCAAGCUCGCCGCCGAGGGCGUCACCUCCAGGUACGCGCCGCCAGCGACUCUCUCAAGCGAGAGCAGCGCCACCUCGUGCCCCCCCUUUUUUUUUCUGCAUACGGUUCCGUGGAAUCGCCGGAGAUAGAUGGGAUGGGAGGUCCUCGCGCGCUCCCGCUGUACUUGAUCUGUUUCCUGUUACGACUGUAAAUCUGCACGAUUAUGUUUUGGUGUUUGAAGUGCCCCAAAUGGUGAAGGGCCUGAGAAAGGGGGGAGAGAGUAUAGAUCCUUCAUACAAUAGGUUCAAACAUGUAUGCACUGUAGCGCUGAAAGCAGCAGUCCUUCUGGUAUUUCUGCAAUUUCGGGUACUCCAGCCCUUCCUCGUGUACAGUAACUUGGAAUGUCCAUUGCUUGCAUUACUUUGAUUGAUUACAUUACAUUAAUAAUUGUAUGACUUUGCAAGGUUCUGUGGCUGUAGUGUGACAUAAGUUUCUUCAGACAAUAGGUUCAAACAUGUAUGCACAGUAGUGCUGAAAAGAAAUAGAGUUCUGGUAUUUCUGCAAUUCUUGGUACUCAAGCCAUUGCCUGUGCACAGUAACCUGAUGCUACUAGAGUUAAGUUUGAACAUUGGCAUUAUGGCUUCUGUGCUGCCCACUGUUUGCAUUAUAGGUUCAAACAUGUAUGCACUGCAGCUCUGAAAGGAACAGAGUCCUUCUGGUACUCCUGCAAUUUUGGGCACUCCAGCCCUUCACUUGGAUGCCUGCAGGCGUCCAUUUAAAGAGGAAUUGAAGUGGCUCAUUUACAGGGCCAAAAGGAAGGAGUAUAGUGGGUCAAAGCUUUCAGAUGAACCUAGUUCUUCCUCCAUUGUACCUUUUGUAUUUUCUGUUCCUUGUUUGUUUUCACUAGGCCUGUAUAGCUCUUUCGUUUUAUUUCCGAACUUUAUUUUGUAACAUUUAUUUGAAAAUCAACAAAAAUACGCAGUAGAGUCCUGCUGUUUGCCUUUAAAAAAGUAACUUGGAUGCCACUAGAGUGAAGUUUGAACAUCGGCAUUAUAGCUUCUGUGCUGUCCGUUGCUUGCAUUACUUAGAUUGAUUAGAUUAAUAAUUGUAUGACUUCGCAAGGUUCUGUGGCUGUAGUGUAAUAUAAGUUUCUUCCAGGUGUGUGGGCAUGAGGGCGAAGGAAGCCAAGGAAAAAUAUAUAGCCUCUGUCCAUGCCCGGAAGCAUGUAGAUCUGAUAAGGAAAAUCAGCUCGAAGGAUAGUUCCGAUCUGAAAAAGACUGCUAAGAAAUUCGAUUCCGUUUACUUCAGCAAAGGCUCCUCAGAGUCUGCUUUCCUUGCGGCUGGUUCUGUCAUCGAGGUAAUUUCCGUUUACUUUUCCUACAUUGCAUAUGUACGUUCACUAGUCUUAUACAGCAAUUCUGGUUCCGCUGAUCCUGAGUGCUGACAAAAUGACUCGUUUGGCAAGUAGGUUGCUGAGAAGGUUGCGGCUGGUGAGCUGAGUUCUGCUAUCGCUCUAGUCAGACCUCCAGGCCACCAUGCCGAACAUAGCCAUCCCAUGGGAUAUUGCCUCUUCAACAAUGUGGCAAUUGCAGCUAACUACCUGUUAAAUGAAAGGGUGUGUAUUUGAAACUUCCCUGUUGAAUGUUCUGUUAAGAUCAAUAUGUGCUAUUUUUGUUUAUCAUUUCCUCUGUAGGAACAAUCAUAUCAAUUUGCUAUGAUGUGACCUACUGAGAACAUGGAGUCAUUUUCUGACUUACCUUUUUCUGUUGCAGCCUGACCUAGGUAUCAACAAGAUAUUAAUCGUCGAUUGGGAUGUUCAUCAUGGAAAUGGCACGCAGAACAUGUUUUAUAAUGACCCUCGUGUAUUGUUCUUUUCAGUGCACAGGUAUAACACAACAAUUUGGCGUUGCUUUGCUAUUUUUGUUUAGACUUCAGACUUUGCUUCCGCAAACAUGCAAUCCACUGUAUGUAUACGCAUUAGAUAUAAAGAAGAAGUUUUAGUUGAGACUUUAGACUAGCUUCAUAACCUUCACGAUAUGAUAUUCGUGAAACCGUGGUAGUUUUGUUGCCUACAUUUUUAUGGCUUACUGCUUUUUGAAUGGAUGUAGGAUGCUGAGAGCGUUUUCUUACAGUGGAUCUCUGCAGUUCAUAGAAAUUUAGAAACUCCAUUUCUUAUUUACAUGGCAUUAACAAACUCAUUUUUGAUAUUAGUGAGCUCACCUUACUAUAAUGCUCUUGGAUAUUGUACCUGUAAUGAUCGGGAUUAAGUCUCCUCAGUUUUGUUGAUCCAGUUGGGCUGUAUAGCACGACCUAAAUGCUUGAGCCCAGUUUGUGAUUAAUGUGCCAUGGAACCUAUUAACUAUUAAUCCGUUGUCAAUGGAAGAAUCUAUAACAGAUAACUUUAUACUGUAGGCUUAUUCCUUUUUCUGUUUCAUCAUGGUUUUACCAUUUUACUUCCUAUGUCGACACUACUAGUAUUGAAAUAGCCUGAAUUAUCUGUUCUAAACUUCUAAUCAACAUAGUAUGGUUACUUUAUUUGUCAUUUGAAUUGUCACCUGCCAACCCUUGAUUUUGGUUAUAGUAUAUUAAUCAAUUCAUUGUGUUUACUUACUAUUGCUAUCUGAGUUUAGUUUCCCAUACUACGGUUCAUGUUUACAUUAGAAAGAGGUGUUUGUAAUGCAACUUCAGUGCUUAUGUUUGAAAACUGAGUUGUACUUGUUAUACAACUCUUGCUCUAAUAUGUUUGAUUUAUCUGCACUGUUAUAGUCUAGAGCAUCCAAAAUACAUGAUAUUGAUAUUUAUUCUUUCUUUCUCUGAUAUAUGUGAAAAGUUCUAGCCUCCCAGAUCCAACGCCGAAACUCCUUCUAACAUUGUUCUAACUAGUGUCAAAAAACGUCUUACAUUAUGGGACGGAGGGAGUAGUAGGUACUAGGUAGGUACCUGAGGAGAAAGCUGCUGUUCUAACCGCUUAUCAUUUAAGUUUACAUACAUGUUACCUUAGCUGAUGAAUCUACAGAUUGUGUAACUUGCCAUCUUUGGUAAAGGCCUCUCCUAGAACUACCCAACCAAUUCUGAUCGAAAUCUCAAAUUUUCACAGUUGUUCCAUUGCAUUCUGUUGAUCCUUCAGUAAUGUGUAAACUAUUAUUCCAAUGUUUGCUCUGUAGAUAUGGUUAUGGAAGCUUCUACCCUUAUGAAGCGGAUGCAUCACACGUUUUCAUUGGGGAUGAAACUGGUCGAGGGUACAACAUUAAUGUGCCCUGGGAGCAUGCGAAAUGCGGUGAUGCAGAUUAUGUUGCUGCAUGGGACCAUGUACUCCUUCCUGUUGCAGAAGCAUUUGAUCCGGAUAUAAUAUUACUGUCUGCUGGGUUUGACGCAGGUAGACAACUGGAAAAUUCUUAGAAACUAUCUUGUCCCUAAAAUUUAAACAUCUAACUAAUCUAGGCAUUCAAAUGAAGCCUGACUGUUGCUAUAUACUGGCAUUGUAGUUUAUUCUAUGGACUAGAUGUGCACUGGUUCGAGUACUACACCUGAUAUACCUGAUUUCCUUUUUGCGUGACAAAUGAGAUCUUCACUGAAGAUAUUUUGACAACCGCUGUGGCUUUGUUGUAUUAUAUUGCUAUUACAUGCCAAUGGAAUCAAAACUUCUGUGUCUCAUAUGACCAUGCAUGUUCUUGUUACUCACUGGUUUUGAAUAUUUUCCCUGUUUCUUUUUUGCUAGCACUGGGUGAUGAUAUGGGUGAUUGCUGCAUCACUCCAAAUGGAUAUGCACUGCUACUAACAAAGGUAUGCAUUUGCAGGUUUGCAGCAAAAUGACCUUUUAUUAAACUCACUGAACCAUGCACUCUCCUGGUCUUAAAAACAUUUUUCAUUCUUGACCUUGGAGUUUGGAUGUGAUAGAGUAGCGUUUAUGUUAUUGCCACAGUCAUUCAUUUUUGUUGUCAUGCUUUGGUGUUACCUGUUAGAAAAUUUUCAUUUGAUCCCAUCAAUUUAUUAGUAUUCCUAUAGUUUUUUUGGACUUUCUACUCAGCUGAUCGAUGCUUAUGCCUGUCUACAUUUUACCUGCAGCUGUUAGGUUUUGCAAAAGGAAGGAUUGUGAUGGCCCUUGAAGGAGGUUAUAACCCUGAGUCCAUAGCAAACUCAGUUUGUGCUUGCGCAAAAGUAUUGUUGGGAGAUAAAUUCACACUUAACUCUCCAGAGAUGCAACCAUUCGAAUCUACAUGGAGAGUCAUACAAAUGGUAAUGGUCUGCAAUGUACUAUUUCUGUCUAAUUUUGGUCUCGCUAUGCGUAUCUGUAAUUUAGUUCUCAUUCCCCCUCACACUGACCAGGUACGCGAUGAAUUAAAGACAUACUGGCCUGUUUUGAGCAGUAAGCUUCCGGAGAACGUAUCUUUGAGGAGUACGCCCUCAUAUAUCCAGGUGAAUUUCCUCUUUCUAUUUUCUUCUUCUUGGGGACUUGAGUUGGGGCCUGCUUGGUCUGACCUCCGACUAAUGAAUUGUGCUCUUAUGUAUGAGAUGUGGAUCGCUCUGUUCCAGAUCCGUUUGCUGGGAAACUUGACACCAUCUUCUCUUACUUUUCACCAACAUGUCAUGACCACAGUUGCAGCUUUCAAACCACAUUCUUAAUGGAAGAUUUUCUUUUUGUUCCAGGGUUAUAAUGAAGCACCAUAAUGUAGCCCAAUUUCAUAGAUGAAUGCAUGUUCACGAGUGAUGUGGACUGUAUUACACAGCUCAGUUGAUAUGCUAUUUCCAUAUUAUCCGCAGGCAAUCCAUACUUGAUGAACCUUUUUUUGUUGUUGUGAUCAAUGCUUCAUGUGUAUACUUAUUCUGAGGUGCCUAUCAACUUUCAAACUCUUAACUCUUGCAAAAGAACAUACAGAGUUAUACAGCUCAACUAUGUUUGUACUCUGCACUUAAAUUAUCUUGUGCCAAUAGUCUCACAUUUGAUUUACUCCCUCCGUCCCAAAAUAAGUGUCUCAACUUUAGUACAACUUUGUACUAAAGCUAGUACAAAGUUGAGACACUUAUUUUGGGACGGAAGGAGUACCAUUUAUGCAUCUUGAUGCAUGGAGGCUUACUGUAUAGCUGAGACGAUCAAUAGGAAAUAUUAACCUGAUGGUGGAGCCCUUGAAUAAUUUCUCUUUCUUGUUUUCCCCAUUGGGGAAUGAACAGCCAUGCACUUCCUCUGGUUCUGAAUCUGAUGUUUUUAGUACGAUAUGCUUGGAGAUCCGCAUUGUCAAAAGUUCAAUAUUUGGUAUGCCAGCUUUGGUUCAAACAUGUGGAAACCAAGAUUCUUGUGCUACAUCGAAGGGGGUAAGGUAAAGUUGAAAGCACAUUGUAAUUUAUAUAUGGCAAGGAACAUUUAGGUUCCUCUAUUUAAAGUUUGUAGCCCGUCGCUGCAUUCAUCACGUCAUUGAUUUCUCGGGGAGAUUUCAGUCGGUGCACCCCUUUCAGUUAAUGUAACUCAAAUCACUUAUGGAGGGUACUUUUGUACCUUCCGCACAAAUCGGGAAUAAAUAUUUGUCCACUCCAUGCAUUAGUCUGUUACGCACCGGUGUAUCAAUUCAAUUGGGGAAGCUGCUGCCCGGAACAAUAGCAGCUCACGCUUGCUCCACGACGUUCGAACAAACCUUAUCUAGCCCAUGGCUCUUCAUGCCUUCCUCGCUGCUCCUCUUAGUUUGUUUGAUCUGGCACUAUGUGAAUCACAGACGUCGACCUGGGGAUCGGUGUCUAUGAGUGCAAAGCUUCACAACCAUUCGCUAGCAAUGACCAAAGAGAUUGAUGGCCUAUUUGAUUCGCAGGAUUUUCAAAACAAGGGAAUAGGAAAACACAGGAUUGUAAUGUCAUGUUCAUCUCAAUCCUACAUGAUUUUGGGUUGUUUGAUUGCAUCAUAGGAAAGACAAAUUAUUCUUUCAAAGAGGUUUGAGUGGAUGGUAUAAAUCCUAUGGGAAGUAGUACAAAUAAAUCCUUAGGAAAAAUUCCUAUAGUUUCAAUCCUAUGAAUCAAACAAGCAACAUAGAAAAAAUUCCUAAGGAUUCUAAUCCUCCAAAAUUCCUAUGAAAAUCUCUUGAAUCAAAGGAGCCCUGAACUGACUGUGGCCCCUUGUUGUAUCUUUCACUCCUGCUUCUAUAAGGGGAGAGGAGGGGGGCAAGCGUGAUGUAAGGAGAUGCGGACGGGCUGAGAUGAGGUUGGGCCUGAAGGUGGGCUGUAUGAGUUGCACCAUGCUCAGUACCCCUCGUCGAGGUGGAGGGGCUAUGGGCGAAAGCUUUGGCCGNNNNNNNNNNNNNNNNNNNNNNNNNNNNNNNNNNNNNNNNNNNNNNNNNNNNNNNNNNNNNNNNNNNNNNNNNNNNNNNNNNNNNNNNNNNNNNNNNNNNNNNNNNNNNNNNNNNNNNNNNNNNNNNNNNNNNNNNNNNNNNNNNNNNNNNNNNNNNNNNNNNNNNNNNNNNNNNNNNNNNNNNNNNNNNNNNNNNNNNNNNNNNNNNNNNNNNNNNNNNNNNNNNNNNNNNNNNNNNNNNNNNNNNNNNNNNNNNNNNNNNNNNNNNNNNNNNNNNNNNNNNNNNNNNNNNNNNNNNNNNNNNNNNNNNNNNNNNNNNNNNNNNNNNNNNNNNNNNNNNNNNNNNNNNNNNNNNNNNNNNNNNNNNNNNNNNNNNNNNNNNNNNNNNNNNNNNNNNNNNNNNNNNNNNNNNNNNNNNNNNNNNNNNNNNNNNNNNNNNNNNNNNNNNNNNNNNNNNNNNNNNNNNNNNNAGGCAUCCUAUCCUUGGAGGCGUUGCCGAAGAGUUCGUCCCGACACCAGAUCAUUGUGGCUAGUACUAGGUUGAUGGUAUGAGUGUAUCAUGUUUUGGUUCACAUGACACAAGCCCACGAAGAGGUACCAUGUGGAAGAUGUGCAUCAUACAUUUUUUUCGGGAGAUCCUCUAUCCCCUGUGGGGUACUGGUGGUGUUGCUUUCCUCAUAACCACAUCUACGUUUUAUUGAUCCUUGAAUUAGGUCUGGGUGGAACAUAAUCUCUCGUCAGUGCUCUGAUUUCAUCAUGAAUUUCUCUUUUUACAGGCUUGAGCAGUUCAAUGACACGUUUGAAGAGAACUGUUUAGUGAAGGAUAUCGGCGAAGAUGGAAAAAUCAAGUCUCCUGGCUCUCCUUUGAUUCGCUUGUCUGAAAUAGACUCUGCCUCUUCACAAAAAACUCUUCAUCUUGAACCUAUUAAGGUUGGAUUUGCUGCUUUCCACAUCAAGCACACGCUUAUCCUCCGCAUAGAAUUUUCUAUAUGUCUAUAAAUAAAUGAGAGUUAAUGUCGCAUCGUUGGAAAAAAAUGCUCUUAAGUGCGACUGUCCUGGCAGCACUUUGAUAAAGGACACUGCCAACCUCUUGUGUGGCCAUCACUGGUAGAAUCUAUCACUCUUACAGAUUAACGCUAAUGCCUGCUGUAAUAGUUGAUCCUUUGGUAAGGAAAUGCCAUGUCCUGCCUCUUUUGUCUGUCGGGUUGAUCUGAAGUUAGAAGUAACCUGGGACUGAUGCCUAGUCCAGAUCGCGUUUGGAAUGUUACCUUGGAUUUGAAGCUCUUUUGACAUCAUCACAACAGUGGAAAAAGGUCUUGUCUCAGUACAUUACAGACUGAAAAGGAUAAACUAUUUUUUCUUCUGAUAAUGCCGCUUCAUCCAUAGCCAUAUAGCUGACACUAGUUGAUUUUCUAAAUAAAUCUGAUGCUAGUUAUAUUUUCAUAUCAGUGGAUCAUUUCUGCAAGUUAUUAGUUUUUAUUGUUCAUGUUUGUUAUGCAAAUUUCCUACAGGAUAUCUGGUACUCCACGUGUAAAACCAAUGUACUCUUAUCUUGAGAGGAGGAUGACGUCCAAUUUUAACUAUGACGUAAGCUCCAGUGUUCACUUGGUAAAGAAAUUUCUUGUGGAUACUAUCCAAAGCACUACUUGAAGGGAAGCAGUAAGAACACAGAUGAAGAUAUGUCUUUUGGUGGAUGGUGUGAAAUUGUUUGUUUCCCUGCAGNNNNNNNNNNNNNNNNNNNNNNNNNNNNNNNNNNNNNNNNNNNNNNNNNNNNNNNNNNNNNNNNNNNNNNNNNNNNNNNNNNNNNNNNNNNNNNNNNNNNNNNNNNNNNNNNNNNNNNNNNNNNNNNNNNNNNNNNNNNNNNNNNNNNNNNNNNNNNNNNNNNNNNNNNNNNNNNNNNNNNNNNNNNNNNNNNNNNNNNNNNNUCAACAUUUCUGUACAUGUUUUGCAGGAAUUAAUUCAUAGAGCUAAGAGAGCUGGGUUAAUUAGAGGGGUAGUUCCUUGUCUAGUAGAGGGAGGCGUUAAUAUGUUACAAUAUGUUGAUGACACAGUACUUUUAUUAAGAGCUGACAAGGAAGAGGCCAAGGUGUUAAAGAACAUUUUAUGCUUAUUUGAGCAUCUUUCUGGUCUAAAGAUUAAUUUUAAUAAGAGUGAGCUUUUUUGUUUAUGAUAGGCUAGUGGUCACAUUGAAAUAUGUAGAGAAAUUUUUACUUGUGUAGCUGGUAGCUUACCUGGGCAUCCCUGUGCAUAGUGUUAAGCUUAUGAAUAGUGAUUGGAAAGGAGUGGAGGACAAGAUGGAAAGGAAACUAGGAGCCUGGCAAGGAAGAAUGAUGUCUUGUGGUCCUAAAUUAAUUUUGCUGAAAUCCUGUUUGAGUAGUAUACCUUACUUUAUGAUGUCUAUGUUUCCUAUUCCUAAAGAUACUCUGCGUAGAGUAGAAUAUUUUAUGAAAAGACUUCUAUGGCAGGAUAGUGAUGAAUCUGACAAGUACAAUUUAGUGAAGUCGGAAAAGGUUUGCCAACCUAUUCAUCGGGGUAGGGGGUCUGGGCUAGCUGUAAUGUAUAGGUGUCUUUUGAGUAAAUGGUUAUGGAAAAUAGAAAAUGAUGAAGCUUUGUGGCAAGAUAUGAUUAGAAGUAAAUAUUGUAAUGAAGAGUCCUAGUCAGCAUUAAGAGAAAACCUACGCAAGUCUCAUUUUAUGAGUGGCAUCUUAGACUAGAAAAGAGUAUUAUAAAUUUUGUAGGACUCUUGGGAAGACUCUUGGGAAUGGCAAAACUACUAGAUUCUUGGGAAGACUCUUGAUUAGGUAAUGUUCCACUGUGUAGUAAGUUCCAUAGAUUGUAUAAUGCUAACACCAGUUUUAGUACUCCCUCCGUCCCAAAAUACUUGUCAUUGAAAUGGAUGUAUCUAGAUGUAUUUUAGUUCUAGAUACAUCCAUUUUGAUGACAAGUAAUUCCGGACGGAGGGAGUAUUACUGUAGCAGAGGUGAUUUGGGGUUGUUGGGAUAAUGUCAAAUUUAGGAGGAGGUUGCUAGGUGAUUUGGCUGAGCAGCAGUUGCAAUGUCUCUGUGAGGACAUGGUUCUAAGUGAGGAGAGAGAUAAGUGCGUGUGGACUUUAACUACAUGUGGUGAAUUUACCGUUAGAUCGAUGUACCUGUUGAUCAAAGCUUUGCAAGUUAGAUGUCCUUUUAGAAAAUUAUGGUUUAUUAAAGUACCUCUUAAAAUUACAGUUUUCUUGCGAUUGAUGUUUUAAGAAUAGUAUAUUAUUGACUAAAGAUAACUUGACAAAAAAGAUGUUGGGUAUGAGAUGAGAAGUGUUGUUUUUGUGAGGCUAGAGAAUCUGUGGAUCACCUCUUUAUUCACCGUUCUUUGGCAAAAUAUGUAUGGGGAGCAGUUAGUUAUGCUUUGGGGGUAUCCAUGAAUUUAGACACUGUAAAAGAUAUUUCUCUGUGGAUCAUGAGAUUUCCUGGUAAGAUGAGAGGAGUAGGACUAAUGGCUGCAGGGGUAGCAGCGAUAAUUAGGGGCUUAGGGCAAUCUGGAAGGUAGGAAUAAUCCAAUAUGCUUUAGAGAUAUUUAUCCGUAUGAUCCGAAUAGCGUUAUUGCUCAAGUUUCUUGGGAAGACUCUUGAUUAGGUAAUGUUCCACUGUGUAGUAAGUUCCAUAGAUUGUAUAAUGCUAACACCAGUUUUAGUACUCCCUCCGUCCCAAAAUACUUGUCAUUGAAAUGGAUGUAUCUAGAUGUAUUUUAGUUCUAGAUACAUCCAUUUUGAUGACAAGUAAUUCCGGACGGAGGGAGUAUUACUGUAGCAGAGGUGAUUUGGGGUUGUUGGGAUAGUGUCAAAUUUAGGAGGAGGUUGCUAGGUGAUUUGGCUGAGCAGCAGUUGCAAUGUCUCUGUGAGGACAUGGUUCUAAGUGAGGAGAGAGAUAAGUGCGUGUGGACUUUAACUACAUGUGGUGAAUUUACCGUUAGAUCGAUGUACCUGUUGAUCAAAGCUUUGCAAGUUAGAUGUCCUUUUAGAAAAUUAUGGUUUAUUAAAGUACCUCUUAAGAUUACAGUUUUCUUGCGAUUGAUGUUUUAAGAAUAGUAUAUUAUUGACUAAAGAUAACUUGACAAAAAAGAUGUUGGGUAUGAGAUGAGAAGUGUUGUUUUUGUGAGGCUAGAGAAUCUGUGGAUCACCUCUUUAUUCACCGUUCUUUGGCAAAAUAUGUAUGGGGAGCAGUUAGUUAUGCUUUGGGGGUAUCCAUGAAUUUAGACACUGUAAAAGAUAUUUCUCUGUGGAUCAUGAGAUUUCCUGGUAAGAUGAGAGGAGUAGGACUAAUGGCUGCAGGGGUAGCAGCGAUAAUUAGGGGCUUAGGGCAAUCUGGAAGGUAGGAAUAAUCCAAUAUGCUUUAGAGAUAUUUAUCCGUAUGAUCCGAAUAGCGUUAUUGCUCAAGUUUCUCACUGGUUGGAACACUGGGCUGGUUUGCAGAAGUGAGGGGGGGUCCGAGAAUUGCAAGCCAGAGGAGCAAGACUGUUGUGGCAAGUUGCAGCUGAGAUGUACAGCCGAAAGAGAGGAUGGGCGACACUGGUGCUGUGAAUGGCUGGAAGGAGUUAUCUGGGAGCUUUUUGAUGACUCGGCUGGGUUGUAUGUUUGCUUCUGCUUUUGGUGGUUGUUGUUGGACAAUUCUGCAAUGCGGUGUUCAGAGCCUAGAAGUAGGGCAUGCGGUUUGUUCUACUGGAGCCUUUGAUAGUGCAGGUAUAGUGGUUUUGACACUACAUUGAGUGUUAUUUCGGGAGAUGGUGUUGUUAUGUAUAUGGUCGAACCUGAUUGUGCUGGUUGUUUGCAAGUUAACCUGUUGCAUCAUUAUCGAUUUCAUGAUGAAUGAAAUUGGGAGCGAUGCCCUUUAAGCCGAAAAAAUAAAAGCUGUUGCGCGGCACAAAUGCCAUUGUUUCUUGCAUCUGAGACCUACUCCCUCUGCCACAACCACUCAAUUGGCUGGCAGCUUCGUUGGCGUCCAGGUCCAGCUGCUUCCCUUCCACGAGUACCUUGAUCUGACUGACUAUUUUCGUUUGGAGUUUACGCUGGUUUGAACACUGAGAAAGUUCCAUCUAAACGCAUUUAUGGGGUCAUGUAUAGGCACGGAACAGUUUUAAGCGACGCACAUCAGGACGCUCCCAUCCUAUGCUACUUACUAGUGUAAGCACAUUUUACAGGUCACAGGCGUGCACGGGAGAGGCUUGGAGAGACGACCUGGCUACUGAGAUCCGCGUAGUCUGCUUGCUUUGGUCUACCACUAGUACAUGUUUGGUUUAUGUCAUAGAUGGAGACUAGCACAAAAAGAAGAAAAAUAGCCGCAAAAGGGAAAGGAAAAAAAAAACAAAAAUAGUCACAAAGGGGAAAGAGAAAANNNNNNNNNNNNNNNNNNNNNNNNNNNNNNNNNNNNNNNNNNNNNNNNNNNNNNNNNNNNNNNNNNNNNNNNNNNNNNNNNNNNNNNNNNNNNNNNNNNNNNNNNNNNNNNNNNNNNNNNNNNNNNNNNNNNNNNNNNNNNNNNNNNNNNNNNNNNNNNNNNNNNNNNNNNNNNNNNNNNNNNNNNNNNNNNNNNNNNNNNNNNNNNNNNNNNNNNNNNNNNNNNNNNNNNNNNNNNNNNNNNNNNNNNNNNNNNNNNNNNNNNNNNNNNNNNNNNNNNNNNNNNNNNNNNNNNNNNNAAAAAAAAUCCACUAGAAGGAGGGCUCGGAAAGAGGAAAAAAAGGGAAAGAAGAAAAAUAGUCGCACAAGGGAAAAAAACAAAAGGAAGAAAAAUAGUCGCAAAAGGGAAAGAAAAAAAAACAAAAAUUCCGCUAGAAGGAGGGCUCGGAAAGAGAAAAAAAUAAAAAAGGGAAAGAAGAAAAAUAGUCGCAAAAGGGAAAGAAAAAAAACAAAAAUUCCGCUAGAAGGAGGGCUCGAACCUCCGACCUUGUGGUUAACAGCCACACGCUCUAGCCAACUGAGCUAUUCCAGCUUGGUGGCUAUGAGUCGUAGGUUAUCUAGAUAAUCAAUGCUUCAAAUAGAUGGUUAAUGGAUGGUAACAGGAACAAGCACCGAAUCACCAUGAUUCAUGGCCUAGGCAGCGACGGCAUUGCUCUCUUCCAACUGGCCCGAAUCGUGCAUCUGUAAUAAGAAAGAAAACCAGCGUGACCUGAUCGCGCUUCCUUGUCCAACUCACCGAACAGCUUCAUGGCCAAGGGUAAAGACCUUGCCCAGAUGUUGCAAAACUCCUGGUGAUUUACUACAGAACAAUAUGGACAUGGUAUAUUCUGCUAGGUUUGGUUGCCGUUGGUGUAUCCGUUGAGCUCAGCAUUGGUUUCACUUUCAACCUGCCGAGAGCCUGAGACGGGCCCCCAAGAAAACAGGUGACGGGACUACUUGUCCUGGGAUGUGUCACCGAGGAGCAGUUGAACUGAUGCAAUCAACACCAGUAGGGUGUCACUCUGGAUACACUUCACACUUAAGUUUUGGUGCACCUACAACACAACCUUGAUCUAGCUAGCGAUGUAACCACUUCAGCUCACCAAUCCUCAGCUGUGCAUCAGCUAAGCAGGUGACCAUUUUUAGCACCUAAUCCCUCCGUUUCUAAAUACAAGUCUUUUUAGAGAUCUCAAUAAAAGGUUACAUUUGUAGAGAUUUCAAUAUAUACUACACAAAUAUGAGUCUUUUUAGAGAUUUCAGUAAGGGGCUACAUUUGUAAAGAUUUCAAUAUAUACAAUAUAUUGAAGGCUACAUUUGUAGAGAUUUCAAUAUAUACAAUAUACGGAGCAAAAUGAGUGAAUCUACACUCUAAAAUGCGUCUAUAUACAUCCAUAUGUAGUCCAUAUUGAAAUCUCUAAAAGAUGUUAUAUUUAGAAACAGAGAAGUACAUAACUACAUUCGUGUACGUGAAAGCAACAAGAUGGACAACGUGUACAGCGACAGCGUCAUCAAGGGGCCAAACCGGCAAACAAAGCAACAUGUCAAGAGCAGCAACGAGUAUAAUUGCAAGGUUUCCAACACAGGCGGCACAGAAACAGCAGCAUCAAGUCAAAUGCAAGGUUCCAGCUUUCCAAACCAAGGUAAGGUACAAAGACAACAAGGGUACACUCCCAACAUCACCCGCCCUCACUUUGGGGCAUUCAUGAUGCAUCACAACAGUAUCCCCCGUCUUUCGGGGUUUCCCCGCUGACGGCGGGCAUACUGCACUACAAAUACAUAAAUAUGAAGAAGAACAUACACAUCACCAAGAUUACGGACAGACGGCACCGACACAGACAGGCUCACAUCUUUAGAGGCCUACUUCUUCCGAGUACCAGGUCCUUUCUGGGGGAAAUGCAACCACCAACCAACAGCUUGCGCUUUCAUGGACGAAGGACGGAACAGAUCAUUGUGAAAACAUCUUCCACAACUUACAGGGAUGAUAUUUACUAAAAAGAACCACAGAGCAACCACAACCAUGUUCCGAAGCCGAUCAGGCGUCUUCUGUCUUGCACAGGUCUAGCAGUGACAGUGUCUGCAAAAUUGAGAUGAGAAUGUUCAGUCCACAAGUCUUACUCAAGC
rnacentral:lncRNA from 1 species